rnacentral:lncRNA from 1 species
GGUUGAAGCCAAGAAAACUCGAGAGAUUUCUAAGAAAUCAAGGUUUGCACGGAACUCCGUACCGACCGUUUAUCGGAGACCUAAAAGAGAUGACGAAAGCCAUCAAAGCAGCACAACCGAAAUCAAUCGAACUUUCCGACGAAGACACUUCGCCGCACAUUUUUGCUUACUAUUACGACAUCCUUAAAGAGUACGGCAACAACUCUUUCUUCUGGUUCGGUCCGUGGCCGAAACUGAACAUCGUUGAUCCGGACCUAAUAAAAGAGAUUUUGAAGAAAUAUGAUGUGUUUGAGAAGCCCCUUCCGGAAACCGGCAAGGUUAUUUCGGGUGGGAUUGCGCUUCUCGAGGGCGAAAAAUGGUCUAAACACCGAAAGAUCAUCAAUCCCGCUUUUCAUCUACACAAGUUAAAGGUAACUAAAUUAAUUACUCUUAAAUUUUUCAUACUGUAACUGAAUAAAUGUGUUCGAUUUAAUUUAAGAAAAAUAAUUUGAGUUUUAAAUGAAUGAGUUAAUUAUAUUUUGUAUCAGUCCUUAUUGUAUAGCAGAAAACAUGCACCAAAUCCCGUAAACGUAUCAAUUUCGAUGAAUUGGACAAUACGGUCGUACCCAAAAAAAACUCAUUUACGUGUUAUUGUAACACAUACCGAUGUGUAUUAUAAGUUGGUUGUACCUAAUUGGUUAGGUGUCAAAUCACUAAAAAAAAAAUAGUGAUGCCAACCAACAAUUGUGAUAUUAUCAAGAGUUGUCAAAAUAUAUAUAUAUAUAUAUAUAUAUAUAUAUAUAUAUGUAUAUAUAUAUAUAUGUAUAUAUAUAUAUAUAUGUAUAUAUAUAUAUAUAUGUAUAUAUAUAUAUACACUAGGGGGUGUGCACCGCGAAAUGCGCGGUGCUGUUUGCCCAUUAUUUAUGCUUUUUUAUUUUCUUUUGUAUUAUAUGUUUUUUUUUUUGUGUUUUAUGUUAUUGAAAGAAAAAAAAAUUAUAUCAAAUUUCAAACAUUAUUUGCAUGGAUUCUAUUUGGACUAAUAUAAUAAUGGUCCACACAAUAGCAUUUACGGAUUUAAAACAAAUUAUUUUUAAGUUGUAAAUAAAUUGAACCUAAAAUAUAUUUUAAUUAGGAAAAAAAAAUUCUUGUAAUAUUAUUUUGGAUUAAAUGAUUGAACUAGUAUAAAAUAAGAGGAGUGACAAUUUUUUGGAGUUGGGGCCCAAUACAAUCUUUUGGAGUGCGGCUGACAAUUUUUUGGAGUGCGGCUGCUCACGCACUCAAUUUUUUGGAGUGCGGCUGACAAUUUUUUGGAGUUGGGGCCCAAUUAGGGGUGUAAACGAGCCGAGCUCGAGCCAAGCUCGCCUCUUUUGGCUGGCUCGAGCUCGAGCUCGAGUUUAUUUUGUCGAGUUCGAGCUCGAGCUCGCGAGCUCCUCUGUUUUUGGCUCGAGCUCGAGCUCGUGUCAAUUUUGUCGAGCUCGAGCUCGAGCCCAUUGUCUUUUUUUUUUAAAUAUUUUUUUAAUUAUUAUUUUAUUAUUAAAAAUUAUUUAAAAAAAUAAAAAUAAAAACAAAAUUGUAAUUAUAUAUAUUUUUAAUAUUUGUAUUUAUUUCUAUAAUAUUUUACAUUAUUAUACAUUAUUUAAAUAAAAAUAACAUAUAAAAAAAAAAAAAUAAUAAUAAAUCCGGCUCGCGAGCUCAUGAACAACUGAAAACCGGCUCGAGCUCGGCUCGUCAGAAAGCUCGAGCUCGCGAGCUCGAGCUCGAAAAUCUCGAGUCCGAGUUCGAGCUUUUUACGAGCCGGCUCUUCGAGCUCACGAGUCGGUUACACCCCUAGGCCCAAUACAAUAAAGAGGUGAGAGAAGGUAAGGAGAUGAGAGAGAAACAAUAAAAAAAGGCUGCUCACGCAUUAUUACGUCACGAACCGACAGCGGGCCCCCACAGCGGAGUACCGACCACAUUAAAUGAAAUUGGAAAAGAAAAGUGGCGCCAGUUACAUUUGGGCUAAAAAUAGCCAAAACGGCGUCGUUUUAGUAUUAAAUGGGCCGAAAAAAAAGGGAAAAAAAAUGGGCCAGAAGCUGGAGAAGCCAUUGACUCUUAUAUAGAGUAAUAUAUAUAUUUUAAGUGACAACAUAUUUAUGUUGCUAAUAACUAAUUCUUUUCGUUGUCAUUUAUUCCCGUUUAUUGUCACUGGCAUUAGUUAUAUUAGGCAUUAGUGAUACACCAUUAGUUACCACUAUAGUGACAAUAUUUUUACAUAAUGAUGUUUAAAUUAGUGUUGUCAAUUAAAAGAUUAUUUCCAGUAAUGCAUGUGAUGUUAUUGUAACUGAAUUUGUUUAAAUCACCACUGUGUUAUUUUUUUUUUUUUUUUGGCAGUCAACUUUUGCAUGGUAAUUACAUAUAUACAGUAAAACUUCGAUAAAUUAAUACUCGUUUAAUUAAUAGCCUUAUUUUUUCGGUCACAAGUACUCGAGGACAACGUGCUAAAAAUUUGUUUCGUUAAAUUAAUAUUUCGCUAAAUUAGUAAAAUUUGGGUGGUCGCACCUGUAUUAAUUUAUAGUGAUUUAACUGUAUUAUCCGUUUGCAUUGGUUAAGAAUUUCAUAAACUUUUUCCCCUUAAAUAGAAUAUGGCUCCAGCAAUUGGUUUAAGCUGUACAAACAUGAUAUCCAAGUUGAAGUCAAAGGUUUGCAGUAGUACCGACGGAAGCUGCGAAAUCGAUAUGUGGGCAUGCCUGGAAGAUUUCACGGGCGAUGUUAUUUCACGCACGGCUUUCGGCAGCAACCACGAUCAAGGAACGAAAAUAAUUCAGCUUCAGCGCGAAAAGCUUAAGCUCACCCUCCAGCUAUUGCAGUUUUCGUUUAUUCCUGGAUGGAGGUCAAAAUUAUAUUACAAGUAUUUUUUUAUUUUUCCUUCGUUUAUCAUCUUGCACUAUUCGAGGAUUUUUGAAUGACCAUCUCAACCAAAAGCUUAAGCUGUUAGUGAAAUGUAUCAUUCAAUAUUAAUAUCUCUAACAGGAUUUUAAGUGGAUUUCGAUUUGCAGGUAUCUUCCGACGAAACUAAACAAGAAAGUCAAAGCGAUAAACGACGAAAUCGAGUCCUUACUAAGGGGUAUAAUCGACAAAAGGCAGAAGGCAAUGGAUAGGGGAGACGAGGUUCCUAGCGAUGAUUUAUUAGGUAUACUAAUGGAAUCGAAUUUAAGAUUUAUUGAAGAAUGUGGAAAUAAGAAUAAGGGAAUGAGUAUUGAAGAUGUGAUUGAGGAGUGCAAGUUAUUCUAUGUGGCCGGCUCAGAGACAACGGCUUGUUUGCUCGUGUGGACUAUGGUUUUGUUGUGCGAACAUACUGAAUGGCAAACUCGAGCAAGAGAAGAGGUUAUUCGAGUUUUCGUGAAUUCGGAGCCAAGUUUUGAAGGAUUAAAUCAACUCAAGAAUGUAAGUUUUUUAUUGCUUAUAUAUCUUAGAUUCAGAUUUUCAUACAAAUUUGCUACACUAUUUGGAAGCGUUGUUGAGGCUUAUUUUAAUUUCGUUUUGGGUAAAGGUAUUUUGGGGAACUAAUGUCUUUCAAAAUGAAAGUAACGUUUGUUUCGCUUUGGGAGGAAACAUAAAACACUAUAGCAGUCAAAUAAUAACUGAAUGUAUUGGAGAAAAAAAAUAUUUCAGUAGAAGAAUUCGGCAACCAAAUGGAUAUUUAUUUAUUUAAUGUCUAGUGAAAACAUUCUUUUUUUUACUGUAGCGGUCAAAUCAUAUUCGAAGAAGAGAGUAAGUUUUAGAAUCAUUUUAAGAAACAUAAGAUUCAUUUUGGAUUAAGCACUAGGAGGAAAAUGAAAACCUUACUUUUUUGGAUGAUUUUGAGACAAUAGAACAAUUUCUCAAAAAAAAUGUUUAAUUAAUUGUAGGUUAUGAUCAUUGUAAUAAUUAUACAUCUUGACUUAAUAACAGGUUACUAUGAUCUUGCAAGAAGUGUUGAGGUUGUACCCGCCAUUACCUAUGAUCAACCGAUGCUCUACAAAGACGGUGAAACUCGGAAACCUAACUAUUCCGGCCGGGGUACAUUUGUUGUUGAUGGUAGGGUUAGUCCAUCGUGAUUCAAAUAUUUGGGGAGACGAUGCAAAUGAGUUCAAUCCUCUAAGGUUCUCCGAUGGAGUAUCGAAAGUUCAAUCGUCAUUCGUACCAUUCAGCUCAGGCCCUCGGAUAUGCAUCGCACAAAACUUUGCAAUGGUUGAAGCAAAAAUGGCUCUAGCCACGAUUCUCCGAAGCUUCUCAUUUGAGCUUUCGCCGUCAUAUUUGCAUGCUCCUUUCUCCAUUACACAAUACGGUGCUCCGAUCAUCUUUCAAAGCCUAGAGCAGUUCAUUUCACGGUCCUAAACAAUUGAUUAAAAGUUGCGAAUGUACUAAAAAUGUGAUGCAUCAUGCAAUAAACUCGUACGAUUGUAUUCAUUUCAGCCAUGUUUGAGAUAGUUGAUUUAUAUGCUUGCAUAAACAUGUAGUGUUGUAACAGUAUACUUGUUUCAACAAAAAAAAAAAAAAAAAACCCACUCCCUCCGUCCCAUACUAUUUGUCAUUUGAAAUUUUUUUGUUUCUCAAAUAAUUUUUUUAAUUAAUUCUUCAUUGGAAUUGUAAAGUAAAAAAUAACUAGUAUUCACCCGUGCGAUGCACGGGGCAUCUUAUUUUCAACUGAAAAUACAUGUUUGUAAAACAAAUUUACGCACCCUUGCGAUGUUUGAAAAUACAUGUUUGUAAAUCCUAUUUUGCACCCUUGAAAUAUUGUAUUUUGACACUUUGCACACUCUAAAAAAUUUCGUAGUACUUUGCACCUUCAAAAUACAAUAAAUUAUGCACAAUUCACCCACAAAUGAAUCUUUUAAACUAGUGAAGAUAAUUUAAUAUUUUUAGUGGUAUUUUUUACGAGGCCAAGUAUCAUUUUUUAAUGCUUUAGAAGCUAAAAAGUGUAAAAAUAAAGAUAUAUUUCUUCAAAAUAUUUAAAAGUUUAUACAAAAAAAAAAAAUGAAAAAAAUUCCUUCAUCUAUUUUUUUAUCAAGUUAUUUGAAAGUCAUAUUUUCUUACAAAUAUUUUCACCAAUUACAAAAAAAGAUCCAACAAUCGAAUAAUUUAAAGAGAAAAAAUUAUGGUUUUUUUUCUUUUGUAAGAAAAUAAAGUUUUUAAGUAACUCUAUGGCAUUUUUUGGGCACUCUGUACGCUCAAAAUUAGGUUGGGGUAGUAAGUAAUAAAAAUUAAUUUGUUAUUUUGUACCUUGAAAACAAUAAAUUUGCCUUCUGUUGAUUUUUAAAAUUCAAUUGAAAGUGUAUUGUAAAUGAUUUAUUGUCUUUCAAGGGUUCAUAGUGCUAUUAAUUAUUUCCAAGGUGCAAAGUGCUAAAAUUCAAUAUUUCGAGGGUGUAAAGUGGCAUUAAACCAAAACUCUUCAACCGUAAACAGGGGCGAGUCCGGAGUCCACCCUUGGGCAAGGGUGGACUCAAGCCCACCCUCAUUUUUUAAUUUGCCCCCUAUAUUAUACCAUAUUUCUAUUUAGCCCACCCAAAUUUUAUUAACUAGCCCACCCAAAAUUUCAAUUAAUGCAAAAGAAGCCCCAUAUUUUAUUCAUCAGCCUAUCCAAAAUUCAAAUUAAUACAAAAAAGUCCCAAAUUUUAUUAAUUAGCCCACCCAAAAUCCAAAUCUUAUUAACAAAAGAAAGGUUCCUGGAGAAACCCUAGAAAACCCUAAGGUCAAUUUUUCCCGCUCAUUUGGAGGAUAUCUUAUACUGGAUUUAAAUUUAAUUUUCUAAUCCAAUUUUUUUUUUCAUAUUAUUAAAUUUCGUAUAAUCUAAUAAUUAAACACCUAAUUAAAUAUUAUUUUUUACUAAUUCUUUAACUAAUCUCCUAAAUAUUGGCAUAAUUCUAAAUUAACUUUCCGUAUAAUCUAAUAAUUAAACACAUAAUUAAAUAUUAAUUUCUACUAAUCCUUUAACUAAUCUUCUAAAUAUUUAAUUUUCUAAUCCAAUUUUUUUCAUAUUAUUAAAUUUCGUAUUAUCUAAUAAUUAAACACGUAAUUAAAUAUUAAUUUUUACUAAUUCUUUAACUAAUUUCCUAAAUAUUGGCAUAAUUCUAAAUUAAUUUUCCCUAUAAUCUAAUAAUUAAACACGUAGUUAAAUAACACAAGUUUAAAUUAGUUUUCUAAUAUGUGUUUUCACUAAUCUCCUAAAUAUUGAUACAAACACUAUUAAUUGGAAGAUAAUUGUACGAGUAAUUCGUCUAUGGUUAGUGCCAGAUAGGUGGAGAAAAACAGAAACAGGUAGCAUUGAAAUGGUUUUUUUGGAUGAGAAGGUGAUGUUUUUAUUUUUCCGGAUUCUUUUCUAUUUAUUUAUUUUUAUUUUUGUUUUAUAUUCCCAAUAUUUAGGAGCUAACUAUUUUAUUGAUUUUGUAACAGGGUAUGCGUAUUCAUGCUACCAUAAAAAAGAAUCUCAUUAUGAAAUUUAAGGAAUUGGUGAAAGAAGGCGAAACUUAUAUGUUUCAAAAUUUCUUGGUGGGUGAUUCAAAUUUACCAUUUAGAGCAUCUACGUACAAAUUUAAGCUCAAUUUUGUCGGAAUGACUGUAGUUACUAAUUUAGUAGCCGAAUAUAUUCCGACAACCAACUUCAAGUUCGUUUCUUUCGACACAAUAAAGAAGAAUGUGGAUGAAUAUUUACUAUUUGGUACGCAAUUGUUUCAUAUAACUUCGUUUGGUAAAUGUUUGUUAUGUCUUACCGUUAAUCACUAAUAUAUUUUAAUAUAUUUGUGUCGUCUGUAUCACAAGGGUUAUGUAGAAAUCCUCAGUAAUCAAAAUAAUGUUGCAAUUUGAUUUUGUAUAUAACUCUGGUACAUUUCAUACGCCCGAGUUUUUGAAUAUCGUUAAUUCUUCUGGUCUUCCAAAUCACGAAUUAAAACUAAAAGAAGGUGUUCCGGUCAUGUUGUUGAGAAAUAUAGACCAAUCUUCAGGUUUGUGCAAUGGCACCCGACUGUCAAUCUCAAGAUUAGGAAAUCGAGUCUUGGAAGCGAAAAUUAUAUCAGGAACCAACAUUGGUCAUAAGGUGUUUAUUCCACGAUUGACUCUAACGCCAUCCGAUAACAGGAUUCCUUUUAAAUUCUAGCGUCGACAAUUUCCUAUCACUCUUUCGUUUGCAAUGACGGUAAAUAAAAGUCAAGGCCAAUCUCUUCAACAUGUGGGUAUAUAUCUUCAGAAACCAGUGUUUUCACAUGGACAAUUAUAUGUUGCUAUCUCAAGAGUUACGAGUCGAAGAGGCUUGAAGAUACUUAUUCGUAACAACGACGGGAACACCUCAAAUACUACUACAAACGUCGUUUAUAAAGAAGUUUUCCAAAAUUUGAACUAAGUAAGUUAUUUAUAUAUUUGGUUAAAUUUAUAUAUGGAUUAUUUGUCUUCAAAGUUUUAUAAAUGAGCUUUGUAACAUUUAUUUUCAAUUUAUAAAAAAAAUAUUUUUUCUUUCAUUUUGUCCUACACUGCAGGUGACAUAUGCUCAAGAGUUGAAAACAACUACUCUAUUGGUGGCCGGAUUAAUUCUUUGGUGGAUAUAGUUUUAUACUAUUAUUAGAUUUUCCAGUAAAAUAUUCAAUAUAUAGUUUUUAUUAGAUUUUUCAUAAAUAGUUAAUACAUUUUUAUUUCUGUUUGUUUUAAUGAUUGUUAUGUUUGUUUGUUCAAUCCCGUGCAUCGCACGGGUCAUGUUACUAGUUAAUACAAAAAAAAAACUCUAAAAUUUGUUUUUAUCUUUUUUUUUUUUCGUUUCUCCUUUUCCUAUAAUUUUCAAAAAAAUCCUAAAAAAAUCUCGAGGGCGCUGCCCUUGAACCCCCGAAAAUUGAAGCCUCCCCUGUACCGAAUUCCUGGAUUCGUCACUGACCGCAAAGUCAAAGCUAAUAGAGAGGAAGAGAAAUAAGCAUAAUUAAUGAAGAUUAUUUGACAAACCCCAUUACACACAUGUGUAUUUACAAGGAGUCCAAUGUUUUGUCUACAUUUUAAAUAAUUCGAAAUUAUUUUUAAUUAAUUAAAAUUAGUUAAGUUGCACUAUUAUACCCUCACACUAAUCUAAACAUAUUUACAUUAGAAAUACAUAAUUGCUUAAUAUCUUUUUCAUAGUUAAAACCCUACGAAUCAUGGUAAUCAAAACAUAUUUUACAUUAUAAAUACAUAACUGUGUAAUAUCUUUUUCAUAAUUAAAACCUACAAAUCAUGGUCAUUAAUCUUUACCCACAACCCACACCGCCUCUCUCAAUCGCCAUCUUUCUCUCAUCUCUUUUGACGACGGCGGUUAUAAAGGAAUAUCUUGCCUCUUGCCAUCAUUGGCUUGUUUUGUUUCGUAAUUUUACAAAAAGUUGAAAAAAAACAAAAAAUAUCGAAGCAAGAUCAACGAUUUAUAUGUAAAAACACAAGCAGUUUAUAUGAUUUUAAACAUAUAAAUAAUGUUAGCCAAAUGGCUUGUAAUCCAAAGUGAUGAUCAAACAAACAAUUGAUUAUGGAACUAAUGAGUUUUGUUGAGUCUUAUUCUUAUAAUCGAAGGCCCAAUGCCCUUGAAUCAUCUUGAGAACAAGCCCAAACGAUCCUCCACAUUUACUCACUAGGCCCAACUCUUAUUUUCGAUAAGCACUUUUUCUUUGGGCAAUUCAUUUUAAAAAAUAAUCAAAUUCUCCUUUGAAAAAUAUGUUUGAAAGGAUCAGCCAAAUCCCAGUCUCUCUAUAUUUGCUGGAAAUAUAUUUGAAAGAAAAAGAUUUCUUUUAUAUUCUAUCUUUGGAAGAAAUUCUUUUAUUCAAAAAUCAAACAUGCGUUGAAUUGAUGUUUGGCUGAUUGAGACUCUAUCUCUUCAUUUUGGAAACCUUUCAAUCACUUCACAAUCAACCAAUCAAAGAUUUAUAAAAAAUGUUUUAUGUCCGGAAGAUGCUCACUUAUGCCGGAAGUUGUUCUGCUGAAAUGUGUUUAUGUUGAAGAAAAAAUUUGUUCUUGAUUUCAAAAUUCAAAUAUUGCUUUGCUAUUUGAGCUGAUCUAAUUGAAUCUAAUCAAUCAUGAUCUCAAACAAGUAAAUCAGGGAAAUCAAGAUUGAUGUUGUUCCUUUGGAAGAUAGAGGAGCUCACCUAUAAUUAGUGAUCAAAGUCAUCAAGUAAUGCACUGAAGUGAAAUUCGAAAAAGAGAUGAAAAGAGUUGAUUGCUGAAAAUUUCAAGUCCUACCUCUCGUUGUUCAUUUGAGUCCAUAUUUUGAGUGAAGAAUUUUUUAACUAUUAGUUAGCGCAUUCAAGUCAUAUUGUGAGGUUAAUUGAUAAGUUCGAAAGUUAUUAAAGUCUUGUAAGCACAUAAUGACAAGUGCCAAAGAGUGAAGCUCUUGUAAGUACGAUACUUGUGCGGAAGUCGUUAGAGACUUGUAAGCACGCUAGUUAGUGUGGAGGAUCUAAGGAUCUUGGAGGCACGAGAAUAAAGGUUCAAAGGCUUGGAAGAGUGGAUUAAGAGAUUCUCUCUGAACCACUAUAAUCACGGUGUUCUUUACUUUACGCAUUACUUUCAAUUUCCGUAUCUCACACAAUUUUCUUGCUAUACUUUCUCUUUCUAAAUCAUCUAUAACAAUAUUUUCUAAAGAAUAACUCAUUAUUCUAUUAAGUACUUCAACUCAGUUUAAUUAAAAUCGAAAAAGUUUAUUAUAAACCCUAAUUCACCCCCCUCUUAGGUAUAUUUACUCUCUCAAAUAAUCUGAAAUAAUUAAAAGAAAAAAACACAAGAUUCGCAGCGAAGUGGAUAAAUUGAUGCAGGAAAAAGUCGAGAUCUAUAGUUUCGCAAGGAGAAGAAGAAAAAUAGAACGGAUCUGAAAUUGGAUAUUUGGAGAACGGCAGCUUCGCAAGGAGAAGAAGAGAGAGCGACAACUUUACAAUGAAAAAGAAAUGAAAAGUAGAAAAAGAGAGAGAAAUAGAAAAUAACAGUGUUGCAGCGCUGAUUUCAGCAUAGCAUUUAGGGUUUGAAGCUUUUACAAGUAAAAAAUAAUUACAUAAUUAUGUAAAAUAUAUAUUAGAAUAAUAUAUAUUAAUAAAUGUUACUAAUAUUCGAAAAAUAUCGGAAAUAUGUCGUAAAUAAUCGGAAUUAUGUCGGAAAUAAUCGGAAGUAUAUCCGGAAAAAUCGGAAAUAUAUCGGAAAAAAUCGGAACUAUUUCAGAUCGGAAUUCGGAAAUUCCAAAUUUUUAAUAUGUAUUUCCGAUUCCGAUUCCGAUCCGAUUUUUUUAGUAAAUUUCAGAAAUCGGAAUUUUGGAAUUCAGAAGUGAAAAAAUCAUUCCAAAAUCGGAAUUAUUCGGAUCGGAUUCGACAUAAAUCGGAAAUUUCGUUCCGAUUUCCACCCCUACUAAUAUAUUUAUUCCUACAGACCUAUUCCUUAAAACAUCUCCUUUACUUUACGGGUGAGCCCACAAUUCCACUAUACAAGCUAUACACAUUUCACAAUUUCACUAUACAAAUUUAUAGUGGAUUUCGAUAAGUAUCUAGAGUGGUUUUCGAUAAAUUUAUAGUGAAUUUCGAUAAGUAUACAUAGUAAUUUUCAUGUUUAUAUAGCUGUUUAUACAGAGUGAUUUUCAUUGUUGUUCCCUCAUUCAUUUUUCGUUUCAACAGAUUUAUGCAAUAUUAGUAGGUUGGAAAGAUGUUUUAUGAAAGCUUCACAAAUUUUAUACUAAUUUUUAAACCUUGUGGAAAAAAUAAAAAACUAAAUAGAAAAAACUGAAAUAAAAUAAAAGUAAUAUUUUGUUUUAAAAUUGAAAAAAAAAAUCAUAUUUUUCCUGGAACAAGAAAAUGAAUAAAAAAAUUUAAAAUAGCGUGAAAUUUUUAAUGAACAUUAUGAUUGGUACUAUAUAUUGGAAGCGCCAUAAAGAUACGCACCAAUAUAACACUGCUGUUUAAAUAAUUUAUUUAAUGAAUAUUAUGAUUGGUACAAUCAAAACUACAAUAUAUAUAUAUAUAUAUAUAUAUAUAUAUAUAUAUAUAUAUAUAUAUAUAUAUAUAUUAAUUUGCAUCCACCUCCUUUGAACUUUGGUUUUUUGACAAGUACACCCUAAACGUUUAACCUUUUGACAUAUAUACAUCUCUUUCAUUAAAUUUUCUCCGUUAGUAUGAGGGGCAGAGUAGGAAAACUACAAAUAAAUAAGGGGUUUUUUGCAAGAACCACCCUUGUAUAAUCUCUAAUUGCUGAAAAACCCCUCGUGUUAAAAAAAUUAGCAAGGACCCCCCUAUGAAAGUUAGUCAAAGCCAAUAAGGCCCCUAACAUCUUAUCGUGUUCUGCACGCGCACAUUGUGCGGCUGGGCUGCAUAUUUUGACCUGAAAAUAUAUAAAUACCCUUUAAAUAAAAAGUGGAAAAUUACAUAUUGGCCCCAAAAUUUUCAUAACCCCAAAUUGAAACUUUAAGAAUUUUCAAUUCAGCCCUUGACAAUUUCUAAAACGCCCUCUCUCCAAAUCAUCUCAUCCCCAAUCAAACUCUCCACAAUUUUCACGCAAAACACACACACACAAUGCUUCCUGAUGGUGCCCCCUUUGCAAAUAUAUUUUUUUUCCCUGCAAAAUGUUUGGAAGGUACCUCACCAAAACAACCCACUCCCAAAUCUGCCUUUCCUCUGUUCCAUCUCUCUCGAGAAACUCCGACCACUUCAACCGGCGACAUAUUCCACAGUUCCGUCGACGAAGAAGGGGCACGAGCAUGUUGAGUAUGGGGCGGCGGCGGCGGGUGGGUAUGGUGACGGGGGCAGCGUAUGGGGGCAGAGUAUGGGGCGGGGGCAACGGCGGAUGGAGGUAAUGGCGGUUGGGUAUGGUGGUGACGGCUAACCCGGCAGAGUAUGGGGCGGCGGCGGGUGGAGGUAAUGGAGGUUGGGUAUGGUGGUGGAAGAUUGAAGGAAGAAGGGGAACAACAAAAAUGGCUUAUCUGCUGAUUGUUGAAGAAGAAUUAUUUUGAAUCGUCGAAGAUUGUGUGAAGAAGAAUUGUUGAAGAUUCCAAUUAUUUCCUGAGCUCUGCUCUGCUCUAUAUUUCUUGUUUUUUUUUCACGAAUUUUCAAUUGGAUUUUCGGUAUAUUGCGAGGUUAAUUUUGUCAUUUCAUUUAAGUCAACAACUAAAUCUGAUAAAAAGGGCUGUGUGCUAUACAAAACCAAACAUAAGGGGGUAUUUGCUAAUUAUUUUAUCAUGAGGGCUUUUAUGCCAAUUAAAAAUAACACAGGGGGGUCUGUGCUAUUAGCUCAAUAAAUAAGUAACAAAAGAAAAAAAAAAUAACUUGGAAAUUUGACACGUGGACUAUAAAAUGGCUUUUUAAUUAGGUUUUUAAUUUUACAUCUUCUCAAACUUGUCGGACUUCAUUUUUCAAUAUUUAUGAAAAAUAUAUAAUUCACAAUUGCUAAUAAUAUAAUUGUUUUUCUUGUUAUUGAAUCUACAAAAAAACCAUUAUACCAUUAUACCAUUUAUGUAAAUGUAAUACUGAUCGGUUUAAAAAAAAUGUAAUACUUAUGAAUUGGAAUAUAAAUUUUGAAUUGGGUAAAUAAAAAAAUAAUAGUUACUAACAAAAAAAUAAAUUGGAUGAAAAUGGUGCGUUCCAACAACAACAACAACAACACAUGCUUUUUCUUAUUCGCAGGAGGUUGAGAUUUUUUUAAAUUUAACUGUUGUUUUAGUUUCUCAACAUCUUUUGUAGCAGCAUUCAAUUUGAACAAAAGUACCUCUUUAUCUUUCUCGAGCUCAGCAACUUGUGUCUUUAAGGCUUUAUUCAUUUCAUCUACAACAAGACAUGUUUUGAGCAGUUCAUCUUGUUGUUGCUGAAUCAUUUCUGCAGUAAUCUCCUCUUCAUCAUCUGAGCUGGUUUCACCUGUAUUAAAAGAAGAGUUUAGACUAACAAGGUGAUCAGACAAAGAAUGUUCAUACCUGACGGAUGUCUGCACAGGCACUGUAGCCUCAGCUAUUGGUUGAAUAAUCGUGCUAGUUCCACAGAAAAGGUUUCCAUCCUUUUUGUCUUCCUCCUCAUUGGAGUCUUUCAUGUCAUCACCUUUUCCUAAUAUAUAGGGGCGGAAAUCGGACGGAUCGGAUAUAGCCCUUUCGGAAAAUUUUCGAUUUUUUUCGGAACUGUAAUAUAGGUUAUGAUUCCAAUUCCGAUUUUUUCGGAAUUAAAGAACUGAUUCCAAUUCCAAUUCCUAUUCUGAUUUUUUUCGAAAAUUUUGGAAAAUCAGAAAUUUUCGGAAUUACUUGUUUUUGGAAAUCUUCGGAAUAUUCGAAAUUCGUAAACUGAAGACAAAAACUGCAAAAUUGUACAAAAAAUUGAAAAAAACGAAAAAAAUGGAAGCAAGAUCUACGAUUCAUAUGUAACAAAUCAAGCAGUUUAUAUGAUUUAAAACAUAUAUAUAAUUUAUGAAAUAAUUAAAAUGAAAAACACACAAGAUUCGCAUCGAAGUAGAUAAAUUGAUGGAGGAGAAAGUCGAGAUCUGUAGCUUCGCAAGGAGAAGAAGAAAAAUAAAACGGAUCUGAAAUUAGAUAUGUGGAGAUCGGAAAUAUGUCGUAAAUAAUCAGAAAUAUGUCGGAAAUAAUCGGAAACAUAUCGGAAAAAUCAGAACUAUUUCGGAUCGGAAUUCGGAAAUUCCAAAAUUUUAAUAUGUAUUUCCGAUUCCGAUUCGAUUUUGUUCGUAGAUUUCAAAAAUCGGAAUUUCGGAAUUCGAAAGUGAAAAAAUCGUUCCAAAUCGGAAUUAUUCAGAUCGGAUUCGGUGGAAAUCGGAAAUUUCGUUCCGAUUUCCACCCCUACUAAUAUAUUUAUUCCUACAGACCUAUUCCUUAAAACAACUCCUUUACUUUACGGUGGAGCACACAAUUCCACUAAACAAACUAUACACAUUUCACUAUUUCACCAUACAAAUUUAUAGUGGAUUUCGAUAAGUAUAUUGAGUGGUUUCCGAUAAAUUUAUUGUAAAUUUCGAUAAAUAUACAUGGUAAUUUUCAUGUUUAUAUAGCUGUCUAUACAGAAUGAUUUUUAUUGUUGUUUCCUCAUUCAUUUUCAUUUUUUUGUUUCAACAGCUUUAUGCAAUGUUAGUAGGUUGGAAAGAAUUUGUUUUAUGAAAGCUUCACAAAUUUUGUUCCGACCAAUGAUGGUGUGACACCAAGUUUACUUUUGGAAAUUGGUUUUCAUUUACUAAUUAAAUUUUUUCUUGUUCAGAUUGACCUAAAUUAAAAAAAAAAUACUAUUUUUUAAACCUUGUGGAGAAAAUAAAAAACUAAAUAGAAAAAAUUGAAAUAAAAUAAAAAUAAUAUUUUGUUUUAAAAUUGAAAUAAAAAAAAAUCAUAUUUUUCCUAGAAAAAGAAAAUAAAUAAAAAAAAAUGAAAUAGCGUGAAAUUUUUGAAGAUUUAUUUUGGAGAAAGAGAGAGUAUGAUAGGUCUAUUUCUUUUUUUUGAUAAAUGUAUGAUAGGUAUAUUGGAAGCGCCAUAAAGAUACGCACCAAUAUAGUUGUGCUGUUUAAAUAAUUUAUUUAAUGAACAUUAUGAUAUAUUAAUUUGCAUCCACCUCCUUUGAACUUUGGUUUUUUGACAAGUACACCCUAAACGUUUAAUCUUUUGGCAUUUAUACACCUCUUUCAUUAAUUUUUCUCCGUUAGUAUGAGGGGCAGAGUAGGAAAACUACAAAUAUAUAAGUAACAAAAGAAAAAAAAAUAACUUGCAAAAUUGACACGUGGGCUACAAAAUGGCCUUUUAAUUAGUUUCUUAAUUUUACAUCUUCUCAAACUUGUCGGACUUCCUUUCUCAAUAUUUAUGAAAAAUAUAUAAUUCACAAUUGCUAGUAAAAUAAUUGUUUUUCUUGUUAAAAAACCAUUAUACCAUUUAUCUAAAUGUAAUACUGAUCGGUUAAAAAAAAUGUAAUACUUAUGAAUUGGAAUAUAUAUUUUGAAUUGGGUAAAUCAAACAAUAAUAGUUACUAACAAAAAAUUAAAUUGGAUGAAAAUGCUGCGUUCCAACAACAACAACAACAACAACAACAACAACAACAACAACAACAACAACAACAACAACAACAACAACAACAACAACAAUAAUAAUAAUAAUAAUAAUAAUAAUAAUAAUAAUAAUAAUAAAAAUAAUAAUAAUAAUAAUAAUAAUAAUAAUAAUAAUAAUAAUAAUAAUAAUAAUAAUAAUAAUAAUAAUAAUAAUAAAUACAUGUAACAUGUGGUUGGUAAAAUAUAAAAGUUAGAGGAAAUCAAUGCAAAUUUGAAAUUACUAUAUUAUGUUCAAAGUGAGGAUAAAUGUGUAUUUUCCACCAAAAACUAACCGAUGAAUAACGAAAAAAUGGAUGGAGGGUGUAUAUGCCAAAAAGUUAAACGUUUGGGGUGUUUUUGCCAAAACAUCAAAGUCUAGGGAGGUGGAUGCAAAUUACCCUAUAUAUAUACUUGUUGCAGUUCAGGCUAAGUUUUCAUACCUGCAAAAUAAAAAAAAAAAAAAAAAGAAGAAAGAAAAAUGGAAGCAACACUGGCCUUAGUUUUAAUCUCUCUCGCCAUGGCAGCAUCAAUAACAUGUGCAGCUAAGCUACUAAAUUUUCUCUGGUUGAAGCCAAGAAAACUCGAGAAAUUUCUAAGAAAUCAAGGUUUGCAUGGAACUCCGUACCGACCGUUUAUCGGAGACGUGAAAGAUAUGAUGAAAGCCAUCAAAGCAGAACAACCUAAAUCAAUCAAACUUUCCGACGAAGAUACUUCGCCGCACAUUUUUGCUUACUAUUACGACAUCCUUAAAAAGUACGGCAAAAAUUCUUUCUUCUGGUUCGGUCCGUGGCCGAAACUGAACAUCGUUGACCCGGACCUAAUAAAGGAGAUUUUAAAGAAAUACGACGUGUUUGAGAAGCCCCAUACGGAAACAGCCAAGAUUCUUACGAGUGGGAUUGUGCUUCUCGAGGGCGAAAAAUGGGCUAAACACCGAAAGAUCAUCAAUCCCGCUUUUCAUCUACACAAGCUGAAGGUAACUAAAUUAAUUACUCUUAGUAUCUUUAUUUUUCAUACUGUAACCGAAUAAAUGCGUUCGAUUUAAUUUAAGAAAAAUAAUUUGAAUUUUAAAUGAAUGAGUUAAUUAAAUUUGGUAUAAAUCCCUGUUGUAUAUAUAGCAGAAAACAUGCACCAAAUCCCCUAUAUGUAUCAAUUUCGAUGAACUGGACCAUACGGUCGUAUCGGAAAAAAAAAAAAAAAAAACUCAUUUACGUGUUAUUGUAACACAUCCCGAUGUGUAUUAUAGUUUGGUUGUACCUAAUUGGUUAUGUGUCAAAUCACUAAAAAAAAAAUUAGUGAUGCCACAACUCUGAGGUUAUCAAAAGUUGCCACUAAAUAUAUAUAUUAAAUGAUAACAUAUUUAUGUUGUUCGAUGCUAAUAACUCAUUUUUUGUCGUUGUCAUUUAAUCCCGUUUAUUGUCACAAGCAUUAGUGAUACACCAUCAGUUACAACCAUAGUGACAAUAUUUUUUGCCUAAUCAUGUUUAAAUUAGUGUUCUCAAUUAAAAGAUUAUUUCCUGUAAUGAAUGUGAUGUUAUUGUAACUGAAUUUUUUUAGAUAAGACCACUGUGUUAUAUUUUUUUUUUGGUAGUCAACUCUUGUAUGAUCAUUACAUACAUAUAGUAGAACCUCAAUAAAAUAAUACUCAAUUAAUUAAUAACCUCGCUUAAAUAAUAUUUUUUUUCCAGCCUCGCUAAAAGAAAAUUUCGCUAAAUUAAUAAAAUUUGGGUGGUCACAACAACAUGUAUUAGUUUAUAGUUGUCUAAUUUAUAGUGGUUUAACUGUAGUAUCCGUUAGGUUAAGUAUUUCACAAACUUUUACCCCUUUAACAGAAUAUGGUUCCGGCAAUUGGUUUAAGCUGUACAAACAUGAUAUCCAAGUUGAAGUCAAAGGUUUGCAGUAGUACCGGCGGAAGCUGCGAAAUCGAUAUGUGGGCAUGCCUGGAAGAUUUCACGGGCGAUGUUAUUUCGCGCACGGCUUUCGGCAGCAACCACGACCAAGGAACGAAAAUUAUUCAGCUUCAGCGUGAAAAACUUAAGCUCACCCUCCAACUAUUGCAGUUUUCGUUUAUCCCUGGAUGGAGGUGAUCAAAUAUUAAAUUACAAACAUUUUUUUAAUCUUUCCUUCGUUUAUCAUCUUGCAUUAUUUGAGGAUUGUUGAAUGACCAUCUCAACCAAAAGUUUAAGCUGUUAGUGAAAUGUAUCAUUUAAUAUUAAUAUUUCCAAAAGGAUUUUAAGUGGAUUUCGAUUUGCAGGUAUCUUCCGACGAAACUAAAAAAGAAAGUCAAAGCGAUAAACAACGAAAUUGAGUCCUUACUAAGGGGUAUAAUCGACAAAAGGCAGAAGGCAAUGGAUAGGGGAGACGAGGCUCCUAUCGAUGAUUUAUUAGGUAUACUAAUGGAAUCAAAUUCAAGAUUUGUCGAAGAAUGCGGAAAUAAGAAUAAGAGAAUGAGUAUUGAAGAUGUGAUUGAGGAGUGCAAGCUAUUCUAUGUGGCCGGCUCGGAAACAACGGCUUGUUUGCUCGUGUGGACUAUGGUUUUGUUGUGCGAACAUAUUGAAUGGCAAACUCGAGCAAGAGAAGAGGUUAUUCGGGUAUUCGGGAACUCAGAGCCAAGUUUUGAAGGAUUAAAUCAGCUCAAGACGGUAAGAUAUUUAUUUAUUAUGUAUCUUAGUUUCAUAUUUUCAUACAAGUUCGCUACAAUACUUGGAAGCGUUUUGAGACUUACUUUUAUUUUGUUUUCAAAAUGAAAGUAAUGUUUGUUUCACUUUGCGUAGAAACAGAAAACACUGUAGCAGUCAAAUCAUGACUGAAUGUGUUGAAGAAAAAAAAAAUAUCAGUACAAGAAUUUGGUAACCAAAGCGAUGUUUAUUUAUUUUCUAGUGAAGACAUUUUUUUCCCGUAGCAAGUCAAAUCAUAUUCAAAGAAGAGAGUAAUUUUUAGAAUCAUUUUAAGGAACAUAGAUUCAUUUUGGGUUAAACACUAGGAGGAAAAUGAGAACCCUAUGCAACACAAACAUUACCUUUUCUAUGAUUUUGAGACAAUAGAACAAUUUCUCUAAAAAAGUUUAAUUAAUUGUAGGUUAUGAUCAUUGUAAUAAUUAUACAUCUUGACUUGAUGACAGGUUAACAUGAUCUUACAAGAAGUGUUGAGGUUGUACCCGCCAUUACCUAUGAUCAACCGAUACUCUACAAAGACGAUGAAACUCGAAAACCUAACUAUUCCGGCCGGGGUACAUUUGUUGUUGAUGGUAGGGUUAGUCCAUCGUGAUUCCGAUAUUUGGGGAGACAAUGCGAAUGAGUUCAAUCCUCUAAGGUUCUCUGAUGGAGUAUCGAAAAUUCAAUCGUCAUUCGUACCGUUCAGUUCAGGGCCUCGGAUAUGCGUCGCACAAAACUUUGCAAUGGUUGAAGCAAAAAUGGCUCUAGCUACAAUUCUCCGAAGCUUCUCAUUUGAGCUUUCGCCGUCGUAUUUGCAUGCUCCUUUCUCCGUUACAACUCUUCAACCACAAUACGGUGCUCCGAUCAUCUUUCAAAGCCUAGAGCCGUUCCGUUCAUUUCACGGUCCUAAACAAGUGGAUUAAAAGUUACGAAUGUAAUAAAAAUGUGAUGCAUCAUGCAAUAAACUCGUACGAUUGUAUUCAUUUCAGCAAUGUUAGAGAUUAUUGAUUUAUAUGCUUGCAUAAACUGCUCCUUCCGUCCCAUAUUAUUUGUCUCUUUAAGAAGUUUUUUUUGUCUCUUUAUAAAGUCCUUUUGUCUCAAAUUUUGUAAUUAAUGGUUCAUUGGAAUUGUAAAGUAAAAAAUAUAAUUUGAGACAAAAACGCCACAAUACUAGUGUUACUAACAUACAAUGUCUUAUAGAUUACUAAUCAGUUUAGUGCCUUUUUAAUCAAAUUGUCCCGUAGCUCAGUUGGUUAGAGCGUUGGUCUUAUGAGCCGAAGGUCGCGGGUUCGAGCCCCGCCGGGACAAAUGUUGCUAUUUUCAUACACUUCUUAGUAAGAAUAUAAAAUUUCAAUUUAUAUGAAUAUAUAUAUUUCUUUUAAAUGGGGUAUUAUGUAGAAAAUUUCUAUUGAAACUAUAUUUAAAUUUAUAUUCAAAUUUUAUUCUUAGUAAGAAUAUAAAGUUUCAAUUUAUAUGAAUAUAUAUAUUUCUUUUAAAUGGGGUAUUAUGUAGAAAAUUUCUAUUGAAACUAUAUUUAAAUUUAUAUUCAAAUUUUAGUUAAGAGGUUUUUUGUGCACAAGUCCCUCACCAACCGUUUUUAUUAUUAUAGGUCUAGGGUAGGGGUGUAAACGAGCCGAGCCGACUCGUGAGCUCGAAGAGCCGGCUCGUAAAAAGCUCGAACUCGGACACGAGAUUUUCGAGCUGACGAGCCGAGCUCGAGCCGGUUUUCAGUUGUUCGAGCUCGCGAGCCGGAUUUAUUAUUAUUUUUUUAUUUUUAUUUUUAUUUUUUAUAUGUUAUUUUUAUUUUUUAUGUUAUUUUUAUUUAAAUAAUGUAUUAUAAUGUAAAAUAUUAUAGAAAUAAAAAAUAUUAAAAAUAUAUAUAAUUACAAUUUAGUUUUUAUUUUUUAUUUUUUUAAAUAAUUUUUAAUAAUAAAAUAAUAAUUAAAAAAAUAUUUAAAAAAAAAAAAAAAAAAAGACAAUGGGCUCGAGCUCGAGCUCGAGCCAAAAAAAGAGGAGCUCGACGAGCUCGAGCUCGACAAAAUAAACUCGAGCUCGAGCUCGAGCCAGCCAAAAGAGGCGAGCUCGGCUCGUUUACACCCCUAGUCUAGGGUUUAUAUCUCUUUCGCCAAUAAGCUCAUCCCUUUAAUAUGUAUUAUAAAUAAGUUCAUCCCUUUGUGCACAAGUCCGCGACCAACCGUCUUUAUUAUUCUAGGUUUAGGGUUUAUAUCUCUUUCGUCAAUAAGCCAUUCCUUUAAUAUGUAUUAUAAAUAAAUGAAAAAUUAGUGUAUAUGACAAAAUUACCCCCAACCUAUUACGCAUAAUUCUUAAUUGUAACCACAAUCUAAUCAAUUUUGACCACAAAAAUUCAAUUUUGACUUUUCUUUUUCUGAAAUUACUUUAUUGCCGCCGGUUUCCGGUAUUGACUUUUCGAUUUAUUUAUUAUUUUUUUUCUUGGUCUUUUCCACCUCCGGUUUUCGGCCUUGACUUUUUCGAAUUUUUUUUUCCUCCUAACAUUUUUAUCCUUUUUUUUUACGUCCGCCGCUAAACGUUGACCGUGAUUGUAUUGUACUCAAUAGUAAUUAUAUUGUCACUGACAGUACAUUAACGCAAUUAUAUUGUCGUUGACUUACAUUAACGUAAUUGUACUGUCGUUGUCAGUACAUUCAUGUAAUUGUAUUGUCGUUCACAACACAAUUAGAGUCAACUACAAUAUUAUUAUUUUUUUGUGUUUUUUUUUCAAUUUUGUUUGAUUUGUUGACUAGUUAACGUAAUUAUAUUACUGUCGAUGACAGUAAAACAACUGUAAACAUAAUAAUAUUACUGUCAACCACAUCAAUAUUAUUAUUUUUGGUGGGAUUUUUGUUUUGUUUGAGUUAUUGAAGGAGUAACAUAACAAUAUUAUUGUUUACUAUUGUAAUAUUACUGUAAACACAAUAAUAUUACUUUGGUUGACGGUAAUAUUAUUGUUGAUACAGUAAUAUUACUGUCAACCACAUCAAUACUAAUUAUUUUGGCUUUUUAUUAUGUUUACCUUUGUUGAACGGUUAACAUAUUAAUAUUACUCUAUUACAAAAUAAUAAUGACUUUUGUUGUGUUAAUUUUACUGUGCUAGAGAUUAAUAUAGCAAUAUUUAUGUGUUUAACAGUAAUAUAGUGAAUAUUACUGUCGACCACAACAAUAUUGGUGUUUCAACAUGGGGCAAAAAGAUGUUAAAGAAAAAAAAAAUUCAAAAAAAAAAAUUCGAAAAUGUCAACGCCGGAGACCGGCGGAAAAAGCAGGAAGAAAUAAGAAGAAAAAAAGUCCACGUCGGAGACCGGCGGUCAACAGCUGCGACGGGCGAAAUUGUCCAUAAAAUUGUGUACUGGGUCAAAAUUGAAUAAUAUGUGAAAUUUGUGGUCAAAUUGAAGUUAGAUUAAAUUAAAGAAUAAAAUUUGAGCAUAUUAAAAUGUAAGGAGCUAUUAUAGUUUUUUACAAACCUCUCGACAGUAUAUAGAUUUUUUUGUAAAAAAAUAUUUUUGUUUGGACCCCUUUAUGCAUAAGUACCCAGGCUUAUUUGUAAAGUGCAAUUUAGCUAAAUUGAGUAUGAAAGAUCGGUGAUCUGUUACCAAAUCGACCAAAUUUUCAAUCCAAAAAACAACCAGGAAUUAAAACCAAUAACAAUAGACACGGUGAACUGCAAAAUGUGGUUCAUGACCAAUUAUUCAAUUAAUCGUUGAUCAUAAACAUGAGACAUAAAAUCACAAAUCGACAUGAUCAAACCAGAUAUAUACAAACCAAUAUUUUUCGUAAUUGAAAUUGAGUUAACUUGUUUUGUUUUCAAUGUAUAUACAUAGUGUUCAUCUAACAGAACUUGAUGAAAUUAUUCCCCAUGUUUUGGUUUCAAUAAUGGAUCAUUCUUUUACCAAAAUACUCCAACAUUCCUUUUUUUUUUUUUAGAAAGAAACGUUCAUUGUCGAUAUCCUUAUAUUGUUGUUAGCUAAAAUCUUAAUGAACUAUGUGGGUGCGUCAGUGCAUGAACACUUCGGGCGUGUCCGCGAUCAUUGCGGGACAUGUCUUGGACCAUAAAUAUAUUUAAGGUCAAAAUUAUUCCGUCAACUGUUGAGUGUAGAAAUUACUCGCAAUAUGUUUUACUCUAACAUGGAUUAUUGUUCAGAUUAAUUUAUAUUUGUGUUUUAAUUGAUGCAGUUUGUGUUUUAUAGGUUCAAAACGAGAGUUAGAUAUAUCCAUGAGCGAAAUAAGGUAAAAAGACAAAGGAAAAAUUGCAAAUCAAACUUUGAUGAAGGAAUUCCGCAACAACUUAGAAGACUCGCCCAUGAGUUUCGGUUGAGUUUUUAGUCCAAACUAAAGUUAAGGGUGGGUUAUGUAAUAUAUUUAAUUAGACUUGACUUUGGUGGAGGGCAUCUUAAUUCACUAAAUAUAUUAAUUAAAAAUAAAAAUGUAAUUUACAAUUAAAGGGAUUUUUGGAUACUAUGAAUUUGAUCGGUCUUCAUUUGAUUCGGGAAAAAGUCAAUUCACGCCAUGUCUAGAUGAAUCUAAUUUUAUGAAUGAGUGUAAAAUUGGUUAAAAUCUAUUUGAUUUAUGCUAUAUCUAGAUUGACCCAAAAACACAAUUUUUUUUAUUGAUAUAUCAAAGACUAAAUCAAGACGACGUUUGACUAAGCUUAUAAGUUGUUAAAAACUGUUAUCAUUUUAAAAAAAAUGUUUGGUGUUUUUUUUCAAAAAAAUCUUAAAAAUUCAAAAAAAUAAGUUCUUAGAGGGCUUUUAAGAUUUUUAAAAAAUAAAAAUAAAAAGUACCUCUACUCUACAGUUUUUUAUUUAAGAUUUUAUAAUGAGUCACAAUAGCAUAUAAACUAAUUAUUGAAACACUUAAAAAAAUAAUUUAAAAAAUAAGACGUAACAGCUCACCAACUCUUAAAACAAGUUAUUAUAUGUAAAAACUUAUAGAGUUUUAAAAUAAGCUUAUCAAACGCCCUCUAAGAAUUAUUUAUAAUGCAGGAAUCCAUCUACUACAAUUUUCCGAUUUUUUUGAGUUGACCAAUUCAUUUUUAUUAUAUAAAGAACCAAUAACCUACUAUAUAGGUGCAGUGAUUGACCAAUUCAUUUAUUUGAAGAAUAAGCAAUUUUACAAGACCCAUAUUCAUGUAAUUAUUUUAAAUUAAAGGAAAAAUUGCACAUCACCCCCUAUAAAUUUCUAAUUUUUGCACUUUGCCCCCUCAAAAUUUUUAUAUGUGAAUGUCCCUCUUCAAAAUUUUUAUAUGUGAAUGUCCCUCUUCAAAAUUUUUAUAUGUGAAUGUCCCUCUUCAAAAUGUCAUUCUUGUUGCACAUUGACCCGAUAACAAAACUCCAAUGGAUAAUUCAUUGGAAUUGAGUAUUUUUGUUGCACGUUGCCUCUUUAAAUCUUAUUUUUGUUGCACGUUGCCCCUUAAAAACACUAUUUUUUUGCACGUUGCUCCUUUAAAAUAUUAUUUUUUAUUGCACAAUAUCCUCCAAAAAUUGGCUUCUGGGAUAAAGUGCAACUAAAGUAGUUUUGAUGUUUCUACGAGUAUUCAGGGCACUGUGGCUGAAACGGAGAUUUAAAUUCAUCUCUAGGAAUGCAAAUUUAACUUCCCAUACUCUUGCUCUUUGGGCUGUUUUAGGUAGUUGGGUUGGUUAUGUCCCUUUAAAUUUGCUUCAUUUAAUCUUGUUUUGCGAUGGAGGCUUCCCUCUCGUCGCCUCUUGUAAUUUUUCGUUCUUCUAAUUUAAGGGUAAAUAGCAAAAGGGUACAUGACAAGGGAUUUAAAUGCACAUUGGUCCACAAAAAAAAAAAAACAGUCUUUCAAAUAAACCCAUCCCAUGUCUUUAGUCUAAAAUACCCUCCAUAAUAUAUUUUUUAUCAAUUCCAUCCAUUAUACUCUAACUUUCUUAAUAUUACACAUUGACCCCAUAUUUAAACAAAUAUAUCACAUUAACCCUCAUUUUAAUAAUUUUUUUGAUUUUUUUUUUCAUAAUUUUUUUUCCAGCCAGAUUCCGGCGUUAACUUUUUUUUUUUUUUUUUUUAAUUUUGUAUUUUUUUAUUGGCUGCUAAAUUACUGUCUCAGACAGUAAUAUUACUGUUUGGGACAGUAAUAUUAUGAAUAUUAUUUUCCUGAACAGUAAUAUUAUUGCAUGAGACAGUAAUAUUAAGGUCGGAGACAGUAAUAUUACAGUCGACGACAACAAAAAUGUAGGCAAAGACGAUAAAAUUAAUUAAUACAGUAAUAUUACUGUCACAGACAGUUAAAUUACUGUUGGAGACAGUAAUUUAUCAGCCAAAACAGUAAUAUUAAUUAAAAUAAUUUUUUUUUAAGAAAAAACAAAAUUUCAAAAAAAAAAAGAAAAAGUCAAUUAACAGUUAAAUAACUGAUGGAGACAGUAAUUUAACAAGCAAGACAAUAAUAUUAAUUAAAAUAUUUUUUGAACAAAAAAACAAAAUUAAAAAAAAAAAAGUCAACGCAGAGACCCGGAGCUCCGGUGGUGGUGGGUCAAAAUUGGGGUCAAAAUUGGUUAAUUUGUGAAAUUGAACUAAAAUUGUGGUGUAAAUCAUGAAAUUGUAGUUGAAUUGAGUUUCAAGGAAUUGUGGGUAAUUUUGGUAUAUAUAAAAGGGUUUUCUUUAAUUCCAAAUAAAUCUUAAUGAACUAGAAAUAUUUGAAAGUACAAAAAAGUUUGAUGUCUCUUUUUUAAUUAAGUGCCCUUGUCAUGGGAGCCUCGAUGCUACACCCAAUUCUUAUAACCGGGUGUGGCUCAAAGUGACACGUGUCCCAUAAUACGGUUUAAUUGAUUCUUUUAUUAUUUAUAUAUUUAUUACUCAAAUUUCUAAGUCAGCAGAACCCCACCCACCGUGUAAUUUUCUCUCCUUCCAUAAUUAUCUUCUGUUUUCCUUGACCAAUUUUCGCUUUUGGUUUCUCUAUUCACAAAAUGGAUUUCUUAUUCUUCUUUUUUUUUUUUUUUUUCUUCCAAAAUGGAUUUAUAUUACUUCAAAGUUAGAUUAAUUUUGGGUCUCUGCAAGACUUUAAACUUGUUCUCAACACGAAGAGAAAAAAAAGGAUGUAAGAAAGAAGCCAUCAAUUUUUUUCAGAGGAAGCUUCAAAAAAGUUUGGGCUAUGUUUGCUAACGUUUUCAAAUUCUUUUCACACUUUCCCCAAAAUGAAAAUUAUAUUUCUACACUAUUUUCAAAAACUUUCCUUCAAAACAAAUUCAAAUAUUUCUCUCUCUAACAAACAUGAUUUGACCGCUACAGUGAAAAUUGUCUGCACUAAAAUACAAAAUCAAAUCAUUUUAUCUUUUAAAUUCUUCUUCCAAAAUAUUUUUUCCCAACACCUUUCAGACAUGAUUUGACUUGCUACAGUACAAAUUAUGUCCUCUCAAAACACAAACAAACUUUAUUUAAUUUUCAAAUUCUUCUCCCAAAACAUCUUUCUCCAAAAUAAAAUGGAAAUGGAACAAAAUGUUUUUUUUAAUUUGAACAAAAUGUUUUUUUUUUUAUUUAAUCAGCAUCUGGAAGGAGGGUUUUCUAAAAAAAACAAAAAUCAACUAUAUUUGUAUAAAGAGUCCUCCAAUUGCAGAGAAUCAGUAAUGGUUGCUCCAAUUCUAAUUAAGAUUGAAGACGAUGGUUAAAAUCAAAGAUACAGAAAAUCUUUAAAUAUACCUUGUUACCUAGCGUUUACCAAUACGAUCCCUACUUCCCCAGUAAUGGACUUGAAUUUACUAAAAAAAAAAAACAUUUAAAUAUUAAAAUUAUUGCUCUGGUUAACUUUCCAAAAAAAUCAUUAUUAAAUAAUAAAAAAUCAAUUAAACCAUAAUAUGGGACACCUGCCAAUUGGAGCCAUACCCAAUUAUAAUAAUCGGGUGUAGCAUCGAGGCUCGCUUGUCAUGGGCCUUUUUUAGAUUAACCCCUAAUUUAAUGCACAUUUUAAUUAUCAAAAGACUAAAAAAAAAAAAAAAAAAUUGUAAGCGCGUCAACUAACGUAACAAGUAACAACUUGUGCUAAUAUAUAUUAUAUUUUUUCCCACCACUGUUAUAAUCCACCUAUAAAAAUCAACAUAUUCUGAAGCAACUUCGUACAAAGACAGAUUAAAUGGCUGUAAUAACAUUGAGUAUUAUUCUCACCUCCAUUGUUGUAGCUGCAUCCAUAACAUGGGCAGUGAAAUUACUAAAUUGGGUCUGGUUUAGGCCAAGAAAGCUCGAGAAAAUUCUAAGGCAGCAAGGUCUAAACGGGAAUCCUUACAGGCCGUUUCUCGGAGACCUAGGAGACAUGAUCAAAUUCAUGAAAGCCGAACAGCCCAAAACAAUCGAAUUGUUCGAUGACAUCUUGCCCCACAUUUUCGCAUAUUACCAUCAAAUCGUCACCAAGUACGGUAAGAACGAUUAUUCCCCGUUGAUCUUAACACGGACACUUAAAUGUAAGGCAAUUAUAUUCAAGCAAGUUUCCAUUUCAUUUUUAUUUUUUCCCGAUACGAAUUUGUGUUUGUUAAGUUUUUAAAAAAAUUCCCUCAACAAUUUCAAAAGCUUAUCUCUCCUUCAUACAUGAUUUGACUGUUACAGUAAAAAAAAAUGAUUAUUAUACUGAAAAACAAACAAACAAACAAACAAACAUCACUUUAUUUUUCAAAUUCUUCUUAUAAAAUACCAUUUUCAAACACAUUUAAACAUUAUUUGACCGCUACACUGUAUUUAGUUACCUUUCAAAUUAUAAACAAACAUUAUUUUUAUUCUCAAAUUAUUCCCUCGCUCAAAACAUAUUUCCCAAAAUAAAAUGAAAAUAACUCCCAAAACGAUUCCAAACAUUGCCUUAGUGUCCCACUGAAUAACAAGGCCCCACAAUUUUUAUAGUUCAACAGGGGUAUUAUAGUAAUUUCACUAUUUUUUGAAUUUUUUUUUUAAAAGUCACCCAUUUAUUAUUCGUUUUAGACCCCAAAAUAGCUACUUCAUAACAUGAUUGCACUUAAUAUGUGUACUAUCAGGUGAGAAUUCUUUCAUAUGGUUUGGUCCAUGGCCAAGAUUAAAUGUAAGUGAUCCAGAGCUAAUAAAGGAGAUACUAAGCAAACCUGAUAUAUUUCACAAGCCCCUUCCGGAAACAGCCAAGAUACUUAUCGGAGGUAUGCUAUUACUCGAGGGCGAUAAAUGGUCGAAACACAGAAAGAUUGUCACUCCUGCUUUCCAUCUUGAGAAAUUGAAGGUAAUAAUUAACUAUAUUUUUUCAAUUAAAACAAGUAUAUAUAUAUAUAUAUAUACAUCCAUCACAUUUUAGCAAUGGUUGGAUACGUUCUGGGAGUUAUUUUUAUUUUAUUUUGGGAAAAUAUGUUUGAGAGAAUAAUUAGAAUUAUAGUAAUGUGUGUUUAUAAUUUAAAAUUAGAAAAAAUAUACUGUAGCGGUGAAAUUAUGUUUAAAUGUGUUAGGCAAAUGUACUGCAGAAGAUGAAUUUGAAAACUAAAGUGACGCUUGCUUGUUUUUUUAAUGAAGCCAAUUUUUAGGGUAGCAGUCAAAUAUUUUAACUCUAGCAGUCACAUCAUGUCUGAAGGAAAGAUAAACUUUACAAGUGGUUUUGGGAAUUUUGUUUUUUGGAAACCUUAACAAACACGAAUUCGUUUCCGGGAAAGAACAAAUUAAAGUGAGAUGAAAACGUAGCCAGAUAUUGCCUUCACUCACAUUUUUUUAAAGUGACUUUUCAAAUUUGAAUUUUACAGAAUAUGGUACCGGCAAUUGGAUUAAGCUGUUCGAAUAUGGUACAAAAGUUGAAAGAAAUAGUUUCGAGUCGAAAUGAAGGCGGUUUCGAAAUUGACAUGUGGCCGUAUAUCGAUGACUUGACGGGAGAUAUGAUUUCGCGGACAGCUUUUGGUAGUAGUUAUGAAGAAGGAAGGAAGAUAUUUCAGCUUCAGAAAGAAAGAGUUAAGCUAACCCUACCGUUAUUGCAGUUCUCUUUCAUCCCUGGAUGGAGGUAAAACAGUAAACAACCAUGUUUUUUCCUAUGUUGUUUUUAGUUGUUGAGGGGUUUAUUGCAUUUAGCACCUUGUGUUUAUUCUAAUUUUCAAGGAACUCCCCGUACUAUCAAUAGAGUUAAUAGCAUUUUGUCACCUGUACUUUGUCCGUUUUUGCACUUUGCCACUUUAGCAAAAAAAAUGCACGGGCAGACCCGAAUCCGUUAUUUUGACACACUUAACCACCUAAGGUGGAUAUUCAGGCGAAUAUUCACAAAUUCUGGCGCACGCACGAACCACAUGACUAAGUACAUGGAUUUUUUCGUCUUUUCAUUUGAAGAUAUCAUAUGGGGGUGAAAUUUAAAAUUUUAAGGACUCAAUUGUACUAAAUUUGAAACUUCUCCAAAUUCGAAAUUAAUUGAAAUAAAGAGUUGGGUCUUUUUCUUCCAUGAAAGUUUCUCCUCCAUUAAAAAUGCAUCAUACAUAGAGGUUUUUUUCUAAUAUAAUAAUAACGCAAAUUUUAUUUAACAAUUCGAUGUAACACAGAGUACUAAAUGCAAUAAACUCCUAGUGAUGCUUGUCUGGAAAAAAAAUCGGAUUAUAGGCCAAGUAUUGAAAUAAUUUUGUUUCAUAGGCAUGUCCCGACGAAAGUGAACAGAAAAGUGAAAGCAAUCUCGAACGAGAUACAAUCCAUACUAAGAUGUAUAAUCGAGAAAAGGCACAAGUCCGCCACCAAAACAGGAGAAAAUGGUGUUUUCUUCGGUGAUGACUUAUUAGGUCUCAUGAUGGAAUCAAAUGCACGGUUCACUCGGGAAGAGGGCAAUGCGAAUGAGGGCAUGAGUAUUGAAGAAGUAAUUGAGGAGUGCAAGCUAUUCUAUUUCGCGGGGUCUGAGACAACUUCGGGUUUGCUCGUGUGGACUAUGGUGUUGCUAUGCAAACACCCUGAAUGGCAAACUCAAGCUAGAGAAGAGGUUAUGCGAGUUUUCGGGAAUUCAGAGCCGAAUUUCCUAGGAUUAAGUCACCUCAAAACUGUAAGAUUAUAUAUCCUCUCUUUUUUUUUCCCAAGUUUAUUGCAUUUAGUAACCCUAUAUUGUAUCAAAUUGCUAAAAAACCCCUCAUGUUAUGAAUAAUAGCAAAAACUCCCUCAUAAAACAUUUUUAAAGUUAGUUUUUAUGUGGGCGUUUUGAAAAAAAAUGAAUUAUAGGGGAGUUUUUGCUAAUAAAAUAACAUGGGGAAUUUUUCAACAGUGCAAUUAGAGAAAAUACGGAGGAGUUAAAUGCAAUAAACCCUUUUUAUUUCAUUGGCUUUCAUACAUUAACAUUCUAUACGUAACUACAUAUUGAAAAAACAGGUGACGAUGAUUCUGCAAGAAGUCCUAAGGUUGUACUCACCGGCACCUCUAACGGUACGAGCCCCUACGGAGACGGUGAAACUAGGAAACAUGACUAUUCCAUUAGGGGUACAUUUGUCAUUGCUAAUAAGCCAAGUCCAUUGUGAUCCCGAUAUUUGGGGAGACGAUGCAAAGGAGUUCAAUCCGAAGAGAUUCUCCGAAGGGGUUUCCAACGCAACGAAGAUCCAAUCGUCGUUUUUACCUUUCAGCUCAGGGCCUCGGAUUUGCCUUGGUCACACGUUUGCGAUGAUCGAAGCAAAAAUGGCUCUAGCAAUGAUUCUAAAGCACUUCUCGUUCGAGCUUUCCCCAUCUUACUUGCAUGCUCCUUUCGCGGUUAUCACUCUUCAACCACAAUACGGUGCUCCAAUGAUUUUGCGUAGUCUCGAACCAUUAUAAUAAACCAUGUUGUUUCUAAUCUUUCGUGAAAUUAUUUCUCCACCGAAAUAAAAUGAUGGUUAGGUUAUGUUCAUUGUUUAGUUGUACUUGUGUAUGAAUCAUUAUGUUUUAAUGUAAUUCGGAUCUCGAAAAUAUGAACUACUCGACUAACUCAAAUGAAAUUACAUACAUCGAAUGAGUAUUGGAUGUAGACAUGGCCACCGGUCCAGUUAGAAUCAAACUGGGUUAACGGUCUGGAACCGGUCAACGCUAACCGGACCUGAAAAAGACCGUUCCGGUUCCCGUUCCGGUUCCUGUAUAUUGGAACUGCAAAACCGGCAGUUCCAACCAUUUAAAAAAGAAAACGUUAAUUAUAAAAUGCCCACAGGUCAGAAUUUUCAGAAAAGAAAAGAACAAAAAGUAAAUAAAUAAGAAAUAGCCAAUGGUAAUAAUUCUUUAAAUUUACUUAAAAUUUUGAAAUUAAAUUCAAGCCCUUUAAGUUUUAUUCCUUCUCUUUUUUAAGUUUUUCAAAGUAUAACUAAUUUGCUAAAAGUUUUUAGUACAAAAUGUAUUUCAACCCCUAGAAAUUUUCAAUGUUCGCACUUUCCCCCCUAUAAAUUAAUAAAAUAGACUCCCCUUCAAAAUUUUGUUGUAGUUGGACUUUGCCCCAAAAUCACAAUUUCCAGCAUAUUUUUCAUCGGAAUUCCAUUUCAAGAGCAUUUGAGUCAUUUCAUUAUUCCCAUCAACAUCCUAAUAUCCUUAUUUUUUCUAAUAAACGAAAAACACAACCCAUUUCACUAAUGCCAGGAAACAAAUGAAGGUUUUUUUCUCCCAAAACAAAUUGUUCCUUUUGAGGUCUCAAAAUUGUGAGAAUCUUCAAUUUCCUCCUCAAUUAGCAGCUAUUAUGGUGAUCCGUCCCUCAAAUGACACAAAUGCCCUUCAAUUGGACAAAUUCAUGUCAAUUCCCAUGAAAAUUGUAAUUCGGUGAAAAGUGCAUGCAAAUGCAACAAAACUUUGAAGGGGAAGAAUCUAUUUUUCAAUUUGUAGGGGGAAAAGUGCAUUUUGUCCCGGUUUUAGAAAUACAAAUAUUGUUUUUAAGUAAUUAAAAUAAUUUUAAUAAAAAGAAAAAAAAAUCAAAAAUCGGUUAACUGCCGGUUCUCACCGGAACCCAAACUAACGGUUAUAGAAACGCCUCCGAAUCGUGUAUAGGCGGUCCCGGUUCCAAACCAGCGGUUCUGCGAAUGACGAACAAUCUAAACAAAAUAAAUAUUUUAAUCCCAUUAGGCAAGAGGUUGUCAAGUAGUAUUUAACUAUUCAACUAGUUCUUGAGAUCCUUUCCUAAAUUCUCUAAUCAAUUUAAAUACAAACAACUGCACAUGGAACAAAUACUGUUGAAAAUAUAAUAAGAUUUGGUCAACCUAAUAAAAAAAAUUUAUUUAAUUCCUUGGAUUGAGUAGAAUGAAGGAUUUUGCCUAACAAUAUUCCUGAACAUUAAUAUCCUUUUAGAUCAGGAUAGUUAUAUUUUCGUAUUUUGCUAAAAGUCCAUCGGACAACUUAGUUAGAGCACUUAGAUAUAAAAUAACUAUUUUUAACUGAAAAUACUUUAUUAUCCUCUAACUCAUCCAUCCUUAAAACCACAUCCACUAAAACAAAUGAUAUUUCUUCGACUAUUCCGCCUCUCCCUACUAGUCCUAUGCCGCCCACCGUCUAAUUUCCGCCACAACAUCACUGGAACAAUGUUAUAUUCGUCUAAGUUGUCCAUUUUGUGUCCAAACUAUAUGUUGACAUCAAAAGUUUGGGAUAAAUCACCUAUUAAUACAUUAUUCAGUCAUUAAUUUGAGUUUCUAAUCCAAGUUCAUAACAUAUUUGGGUUUACAAAUGAGGCUAAUCCAUAAAUAAGUAAUAAAUUCAUAUUUUAUGGAUUACUUAAUUGGACUCAAAUCUAACCCAAUAAAUCCACCGGCCCAUGCUGCAAACUGAAACCCUAGCUCGUGCCUAUAAAAGAAGGUCUUGGCUAUACGUAAAAACCAGACUCACGUAGACACAUAUCGAGCUCUCAUGUCCAAAUCCCAGACCUCCACCUCGAAUUUAUAACAUAUUUGACUUCAAGAUGUUUAUAUUUAUUAGAUUCCAUAUUUGACUUCGAGAUGUUUAUAUUUAUUAGAUUCAAGAAAAAACUUCUCAGCCCUAGGAGAGAAGAAUUACGAUAAUUACAAAAUAAUUAGCCAUUUUAAAUCUCCAGUUUGAAUUUUUCAAAACAAAUAUUCAGCGAUUUUUAAUAGUUCAUGGCCCAACCUGCCCACCCUUAAUUAGAAGUUAGAUUAUCAGCUACAAAAUUAUUUGACAAUAAAAAAAAUGUGAUUAAUUAUAGUACAUUAACAAUAUUCAAUUAUUGUAAAUUAACAAUGCCAACAGUCUUCCCCUCACUUAAUUACUACUCUCCUUGAAAAUAUUUUGUAGGAUCGGUUACGAUAAGUUUUACCUAAAUUAACGUAACAAGGUAUCAGAGCGGAUUGGUUGGUACGCUAAAACCUAUGUUGCACGGACACGGGAACGUGGACACGGGAAACAGGGAAACGGACACAUUCCAAAAAGUUGGAUACGGGAAUGUGGGGAAACGCGUAAAUAAUAAAAAUAUAGGGGUGCAUUAAUAAUUUCUAAAAAAAUAUUAUAAUGUUUAAUAUCAUUCCACAAAUUACAUUUGGGGCUUAUAAAUUUAUUUUAGUAUGUAAUUAACAUCUACAAAAAUAUUAAAACACCACUAGAAGUGAAAAGGAGACAUAAUAUUUAAGAUUUUUUUUAAGAGUAUGCAAUUCGAAGUUUUUAAGCUUGAAAUUUGGAUUUAGUUUUUGUGGAAACACCUUUCCAAUUUUUAAUUAUUAUCAGAAAUGACCCCGAAACGUUUCCGACAGGUGUCAUGGGGUUUCGGUUUCCGAAAAUUUCCGAAAUGUGAAAAUGUGUGUGGGUUGAAAUUUCCGUGCAUCAUAGACGAAAACCAAUUGAUGGUACAAAAUAUUCUUCAUUUAUAUAAGGAUAGCCAUAUUAUUGGCUAUCAUUGGUAUUUUACACUUUUUUUUUUUUUUUGUGUUUUUGUAAUAAAUUAAAUUAAAACAGGAAAAAUUGAGACAAGAGGGAGUUCGUGGGGUGGGCGGGCUUGGGCUGCGAGCUAGGUGCGGGCGGGAUACACGGGCCGGGCCUGGCCGAGAGGGUUGGGUAGUGGGCUAGGCCGGAUUUGAGACGAACAAAAUUUGUCAACCAAAAUUUUACUAAUUCAUACUAUUUAAUCGAUUGAACUUAUUUGUUACUGAACAAAAUUUUAGUGUAUAUUUAGCUCGCACAUAUAAAAAUCAUGUGCCCGACACUUUACGGAUGAACGUUUUCCGAAGAAACACGAACGCUGGGUACAAAAACAAGGACAAAAAAGAAAAUGUGCCUCUAUACGAGGGUGAACUUUUCUUUUGCCACGACCAACUGAUUGCCCUAUCAUGCCUUACCAAUUUUCUAACGAACGGUAUAAUGUGGUGCCCUACGAUACCAUUCCGAUUUUAUUUUGUAGCGUAAUGGCAUCCGAUAAUAACCAUGAUAUUACCCUAUUGCGUUUUUUCUAUUAUUGAAUAAAUAUAAUAUAUAUUUUUUGUAUUAUAAUUUAUACGUAUAAAGAAAGCUUUAUGUGUUUUAUAAAAAAAAAAUGAUGGUUUGAAGCAUGAAUUACUUUGAAGUUUUAAUUAUGCAUAUUGUAGAGGUAUAUCUUUGCUAACAUUAGUAGCUAAUAGUUCUAUUAUUGAAGCAUGGACCACAAACUAACAUUAGUAGCUAAUAAGUUCUAUUAUAACGGUCCAUCUUUGCUAAUAAUUUAAUUAUAGGGUGAAUUACUCUUACACUCCUGAGGUAUGCUAGAAUAACUUUAAGGUACAUGUGGUAUUGGUAAUUACAGUCACACCCCUAAAACAAUUAUCGGAGACAAGAUUUCAUAUCAUGGAGACCAAUACGCACUAUAUUUGUUUUCCGCAGGGCCGUUAAUGCUACCUAGACGAAAAUUUAUAAAUAUAAUAUAAAAUAAUGAGGAUUUAAGAUAUGUUGGGGGAACCAUGUUUAUAACAAUGUUUCAGGGGGGUCGUUGUAAUUGCUGAUACUAUAUGGACCUUAAAGUUAUUUUAGCAUACUUCAGGCGUAUAAGUGAAAUUUACCCUCUAAUUAUAAUAUUUGUAUAAUCCCACUUUACACCCUUGAAAUAUAUCAUUCUGACACUUUGCACCCUCGAAACAAAUUAAUAGCACUUGCACCCUCGAAACAUAAUAUAUUACACCCCACAUGAGUUUUUAAAGCUAAUAAGGUAGUUUAAUAUUGUUAGUGGUAUUUAAAAAUUAUAUUUUUUAUCACAAAAAAAUAUUUUACGAAAAAAAACCCUUCGGCUAAUUCGUUAUCAAGUUAUCUGAAAAUCAUAUUUUCUUCCAAAUAUUUCUACCUAAUAUUUCCACCAAGUACAAUAAAAAAUCUAUCAAUCGAAUAAUUUAGUGAUAAAAGUUUAUUUGGUUUAAUUUUGUAAGAAAUUAUAAUUUUUUUCAAUUAUCCGGUGUUACUUUUAUUUUUCCGCACUUUCUGCGCUCGAAAUUAGGUUGGAGGGUUGAAGAAAAUAACAGUUUAAUUUGUUAUUUUGCAUCCCGAAAAGAAAACCAAUAAAAAAUGAAUUAUUCUUUAUUAUUCAAUUAAGGGUUCCUUGUGAAUGAAUUAUUAUAUUUUGAGGGUGUAAAGUGCUAUUAUCAUUUUUCAAGGAUACAAACUGCCAAAAGGCUUCAUUUAUUUCAAGAGUGCAAAGUGGGAUUAAACCUAUAAUAUAUUAAUUUUUCUCAUAAUAUAAAUAGUGUGACAACUAAUGCAUUGACUUUUUUUAUACCGGAACUUUGACAACUUAGCCCUACCAAAUUCAAUCCUUACUUCCACCGACCUAAAUUUUAUGAUCGGAGACUCUUAGCCGGAAAAUAAAUACCAUUUAAUUAGAUCGCUAUUAAUUAAUUGCAGCUGACUUAGAUUUCAAUAAAUACAAUUAUGAAACUGAUACAUGCAUAUUUGCGAAAAUCCUAGAAUUUAUAUAAGCUAACUCUAAUGGUAAAUUAUAUAAACUCAGUUGUUAAAUACGGAUUUGAUAUUUCAAUAUUUAUUUAAAAUUCAUCUACUCAAACCAACAACUCUAACUGAGUCCUCAAUCAGGGUAUUCAAAAUUUUUAACCACCAUUUACGCAUUUUAAAAAAUGAAAUUUUUAACUCUAAUGAAGUUAUCAAAUGAGGGUUCUGUUUUGAUAAUUCACUUCUUGAGAUGUAAAUAUAUAUACUCGCUGAAAAUUGAGUUACUGAGAAAGUAACCACAUUAAGAUCCAACCACAAGUUGACAUUUGGCAGUUAUAUAUAAAAUCACUCAUAAAAUUCUAUUUGAUAAUUAAUUUUAUAACCAUAGUUGGAGUGGAUGAAUUUUAAAUCAGUAUUGAUAUAUUAUCUUCGAAUAUCAUAUGAAUUGUAACUGUAAUUGAAAGUUUUUUGACGGUUCUAUUUGUAACAGUCACAUGUCAAAUUGUGAUUGGACAUUUAGGUGGUUAUUUUUUCAAUAACUCAAUUUGAGGAAUGUAAUUUAUGUGUUUGAUAAUCCAUUUAAAAUUAAGCAGAAGUUAUGGAUUGCAAGUUAAGUUUGUUUUAAAUGCUUAUUUUUAAAAGUUAGGAGCGUGUUCAAAUUUACUGUAAAAUAAACUUAAAUAGGAAAAACAGAAUCAUGGGUGCUUAACAAAUUAUAGCUUAAAGUUAUUUAUUUUAAGAGAAACAAAAGUAAAAAUUCAUUUUGCAAACACUUAAAAAUAGAUUAUAAGCAAAAAAAGUUCAUAAUAUGUUUGUAAAAGCUUUUGCAAAUGCUACCUAUUUUGUGCAUAGUAGAUUAGCGGGUCACGUUUGUAAGUGGGAUAGAUCCAAGUUUUAUUAUGACAAGUGUUAUAGCGUAGCCUAAUUAUAAAUUACGUAACAAGAAGGAUUCAAGGGCAAAACAAUUUUUACAAGAAUCAAAUACUUCUUUUAUAGUGUAUUUUGUUAUAUAUUUUUUUUAUUUUUCACUUCCUUUUGGUAACAUAAUAUUUGGAAUUUUAUUUUAACUUUUGUAUUUCUAAUACUUUGAAUUAUUACGUGCAAGUUAUCUUAAUUUUUUUUUUUCAAAUAAAUAUACAUAAGAAUAAAAAAUUUGCGCUAGGUGGGAUCAUAAAAUUAUUGUGCAACUAGUAUUUCCCCCUGCAAUGCACAUAUUAGAAUUUUCAAUUUUUUUUUAAAAUUUAAUGCAUGUCAAUAACAACCAUAAUAAAAAUAUUGCACUAUUGUAAUAAAAUUUAUUUGUGAUAUUUAAAUAAUUGUAACACUAUCAAUAUUCAUACGAAUCUGAUACUACAAACCCACUCGACAAAAGAUUAUAUAAACUUAAUUAUUCAUAAAAUGAAAUUGAUCGCUAAAUAAAUUAAGCAAUUAAUAAAUAAAGAAAUCAUAAAAAUAAAAUAAUUUGCAGAGAUGUCGUUAACAAAGAAAGCGGAAAACCGUUCCAUUUAGAUAACAAAGAAAAAAAAUGAUUAGAAGUAGAUCAAAAAAGAAAAAAACAUAUAUUUUUUUUAACAACGAUGGCAUUAACAAUGAAAACGGAAUAUAACAAAGAAAGCGCCGGUCCAUUGAGAUAAGAAAGAAAAAAAAAAUGAAAACAGAGAAAAAAAUAAAAACAAAAAUAAUUACAAAGAUGCCAUUAGAGUUGAUUAGGGUCUUAACUCCUUUUAUGUAUAAAUAUGUUUAGCUCAAUAAACAUAUGGAAUACAUUUAAAUGUUACAAAAUUCAUUGGUGGAGAAAAAUGACAAGAAUUUUUUUCAAAAUUUGAAUCUAAUAUAAGAUAAUAAUAGAAUACCACUUACCACGAUUUCGUACCAAACGUAACGGUACCAAAUAACGGUAUACCAUAUAUAUGAAAAUUCAACUACCAUAAUUUACUAAGCUUGGUAUAAUAUAAUGAUCAUAAACUUCGAUAUUCCUACCAAUGCCAACCCUAUAUUUGAACAAUAGACUACAUAUUACAGGCAACCUUUACAAAAAAAAAAAAAAAAAAAAAAAAAAAAAAUUGAUUUGAUUUAAUUUUUUAUAAUGUCAGCCAUUUCUUUGUUUGACCUCUUGUAAUAAUAUUGCUUUAUGUGUACAUGUGCAUAUUGUGGUGAGUUAUUGAUCUUUUCACUAAACAUAAACCUUGAAAUCCGGUUAAGAAAAUAAAAGAAUUUAAUGUCCUUUUUUUCAACUCACGUAUUAUUACAGUAGAACAUCGAUAAAUUAAUAAUCUCGCUUAAAUAAUAAUUUAUCAUGGUCUCGACUCAAUGAAAAACGUAUUAAAUUAUUCGUUCGAUAAUCUAAUAUUUCGCUAAAGUAAUAGAGUUUUGCUGGUCCUGACUGCACGACUGUAUUAAUUUAUUUAAGUAAUAACGUAAUUAAUACAAAACAUGCCUUGCCCCUCCUCUCUUAUCUCUAUAUAUAUAUUACAAUUCAUGAGUUUGGCCUUGGAAAAUAAAAUGGAUGCAGCAUUUAGUUUGAUACUAACUUCUAUUCUUGUAGCUGCAUCGGUAACAUGGGCAGUGAAAUUACUAAAUUGGGUUUGGUUUAGGCCGCGAAAGCUCGAGAAAUUUCUAAGGGAGCAAGGUCUGAAUGGGAAACCCUACAGACCGUUUCUCGGAGACCUCAAGGAUUACGUGACGGCUGUUAAAUCAGAACAAAGACGAACAAUCAAACUUUCCGAUGAUAUUAUACCGCACAUAUUCACGUAUUACCAUGAGAUCAUCAACAAGUACGGUACGAAAUAUGAUUAACAGCUGUUAAAUUAAUCAUAUUUCUAUAUAUAGUUGAUCAUAUAAUAUAAUAUGUUGCUAUUUCAGGUGAAAAUUCGUUCGUGUGGUUCGGUCCUUGGCCGAGGCUGAAUAUUACGGAUCCGGAGCUAAUAAAGGAGAUAUUAAGGAAACCGGAUAUUUUUCAGAAGCCCGUUCCGAAAACGGGCAAGAUUUUAACGGGCGGGCUUUUGCUACACGAGGGCGAAAAAUGGGCUAACCAUAGAAAGAUUAUCAAUCCUGCUUUCAAUGUAGAUAAGCUCAAGGUAAAUUGUAUUACAUUUUCCCACUCUCUCUCUUUAUAUAUAUAUAUAUAUAUAUAUAUAUAUAUAUAUAUAUAUAUAGUCCUAUUUCAAUUCUACAUGCAAUAACUUUACAAAUUUAGCAUUUUUGGUCCUAUUUUGCUUGAAAUUUUAGUUUUACUCUUGGAAGAAUUAUGUGGCUUACAACCUCAUCAUAAUUUAGUUAUAUGAAUAUUUAUAAAUUAUAAAUAGGCCUCUGACUUGGUUUAUAUACUUGUCAUCUCGCACUGUAAAAAUUCUAUAAAAAAAACUAAGUUAAAUGACGAGAUUAUAAUUUUUAAAAGUGUAAAAUUCGUUUGCCAUAUGGUAAAAUUUGAGUUCAAGCAGUUAAGAGAGGACCAAAAAUGCUACUUUUGCAAAAUUAUUACAUGUGAAAUUGAAACAGGAUAACUUAGAGGACUAAAUCUCUAAAUAGACUAACAUAGAGGACCAAAAUUACAAUUUUAUAUCAACUUUCGCGACAAGUUUGUGAAAUAUGAAAUGCAAAUUUUACGUGCAGAAUAUGGUUCCAGCAAUUGGUCAAAGUUGUUCAAAAAUGGUAGAAAAAUUAAAAGCAAUAAUAAAUGAUGAGGGGUGGUGCGAAAUCGAUAUGUGGCCAUGGCUGGAAGAUUUAACGGGCGACAUGAUUUCACGUACGGCAUUCGGAAGCAGCCACGAACAAGGGACGGAGAUAUUUCAUCUCCAAGCCGAACGACUUAAGCUCACCGUGCAAAUAAUGCAGUUCUUAUUUAUCCCCGGUUGGAGGUAAUCAUAAAACAAAUUAAAAGUUAGUCUAGUUUUAUACUAUUUUCAAAUUGAUCAUUUCCUUAUACAUUAAUACCGUCGGGACUGGGAUUUUUUAUUUAUUAAAUUAGCGAAAUAUUAAAUUGUCGAACUAAUAAUUUAUUACGUUUUCACCGAGUCGGGACAUAAAAAAAUUAUCAUUUAAACGGGGUUAUUAAUUUAUUGAGGUUCUACUGUAUUAUUGAAAUUGAUUUUGUUUUUGCAGAUAUCUUCCGACGAAAGUAAAUAGGAAAAUAAAAGCAUUGAAUCAAGAAAUUCAAUCGUUGUUAAAAGGUAUAAUCGAGAAAAGGCAGAAGGCUAUGGAUAGGGGAGAAGCCAUGGGUGGUGAUGACUUAUUAGGUAUAUUAAUGGAAUCGAAUUCAAGAUUCACCGAAGAAGAUGGAAAUAAGAAUAAGGGGAUGAGUAUUGAAGAUGUAAUUGAGGAGUGCGAGCUAUUUUACUUAGUCGGUUCGGAGACGACCGCUAGUUUGCUCGUUUGGACUAUCGUUUUGCUAUGCAAGCAUCCCGUAUGGCAAACGCAAGCACGAGAAGAAGUCAAUCGAGUUUUCGGAAAUUCGGAACCAAGUUUUGAAGGCUUAAAUGACCUCAAAAUUGUAAGAUUUCUUGAUUUUUUUUUUUUUUUUUUAAAUUAUUUGGUUGAAAUUUGCAAAUGACUAUAUUGAUGAGUCCAUGAUUGCAUGAUUCUGGGUAAAUGUACUGCAUUAGAUUUAUAAUUGUUGAAAAACAAUGUUUUGAAACCCGGACUGCACCGGAUGUGGGUUGAACCGCGAAACAUUUUCUUGCUCGGUUCGGUUUGGCUAGUUAAACCGUAAAAUCAUAACCCAACUAAAAAUCGAGUUUUUUAGCCCAAAAUGUUGCAUUUUUUUAUGUUAAAAAAACAAAUAAAAUGCUAAACGACGUCUUUUUAUUGCCUAGUUGAAAAUAAAAUCUAAUCAAAAUAAAAAACUUUGAAAUUGGAAAACAUAUUAUGUUAGAUUAUAAUUUAUAUAAUAUUUGAAGUGAUUGAGUUGUGAUAUAUGCGUGUCGAUAUGUUGUGUGUGCCAAAGAAAAAUAAGCUUGAUUUACGUUUCAGUUGUAGGGGAGUAUGAGUUAAUGAGUGUAAAAGAAAGUAGAUUUUAUUUACUACAAAAAUUAAAAUUAAAUCAUUAUAAAUAAAUAAAACACCUAGUUAAACCCCGAUUGAAAUGGUCCAAUCGCGACCCAAUAAAUUGUUUGGGUCAAUGUCCGGUCCGAUUUUCAAAACAUUGAAAAGUACAAUUUCAAAAAGAAAACCAACGCUGGAAGAAAAAAUUUCACUCUACAUCGUAUUCGACUUAAAACAAUAAUUCUUAUAAUAAAUUUUGCAGGUGACCAUGAUUCUGCAAGAAGUACUAAGGUUGUACACACCGGUACCUAUGACGGUCCGAGGCCCUACAGAGACGGUGAAACUAGGAAAAAUGACUAUUCCAUCGGGGGUACAUAUGACAAUUCUAUUAGGCCUACUUCAUCGUGACCCCACAAUUUGGGGAGACGAUGCAAACGAGUUCAAUCCUCAUAGAUUCUCAAAAGGUUAUUCCAAAGUUGCAAAGACGCAAUUGGCCUUCAUACCGUUCAGUUCAGGCCCUCGUGUUUGCAUUGGACAAAACUUUGGGAUGAUUCAAGCAAAAAUGGGUCUAGCCAUUAUUUUAAAGAGCUUCUCAAUGGAGUUGUCACCUUCGUAUUUACAUGCCCCUUUCCCCAUUCUUACUAUUCAACCACAGUACGGUGCACCGUUGAUUCUGCGUAGUCUCGAUUCUUCAUAAAAGUCAUGAACAAGAAAGUGUAUUAAAGAUUAUUAAUAAAAGUUCUUAAUGAAAAAGGACGAAGGAUAUUAAUUAUGUUAGAGAAAUAAUAAUACCUUAAAAACAUGUAUUUGGAUAUCAAUGUUUUUUGAACUUUAACUCAAUACUCCCCCCUUUCCAUAAUAUCUGUCGCUUUGGAGAAUUUUUUUUGUUCCAUUUUAUCUGUCACUUUAAAUUUCUAACACAUCAUUAAUUACUUAAUUUCCAGUUUAUACCCUUAUUAACUCUUUCCAAUAUUCUUUUUUCAACUAAUUUCUCUCUUAUUAAUUAUAAGACAAGGUCAUUUAGUCUAAAAGCAUACAUUUUCCUAAAAUCAAGAUACAUUUAAUAAAAUUCUUAAUCUUUGUGCAAAGCUAAAAAACGACAAUUAAAAUGGAACGGAGGGAGUAAUAUUUUGUCUUCAAUUUUGUGCAUAUUGGGGAAUAAUUACACUUUUCGUCCCCCAAGUUUGGCUCGAUUCCACUUUCGGUCCCCAUGUUACGAGUUGGACAAAAUACACAUUAAAUUUACCACAUUUAGACACAUUUGUUCCACACCGUUUCACAUAUGUUGGCAAUUAACAGAAAUUUGUCACGUGCGUCCCACAAUUUGCCAAAAUUACGGCAAAACCACACCGUAUUUUAAUUUUUUUUUCUUUCUCUUUUUUAUUUUAUUUUACGGAAUUGAUCUGAGCCAUUCGAUCACUUCCCACUUAUUUUUUUUCUUUCUUUUUUAUCUUUAUCUUCUUCACCACUGUCCGCCUCAUUGCCGACCAUCACCGCCAUCAGAAGUCACCCCACCACAAUUGACACCAGAACACCACUGGAUUUCAAUGAGGUUUUGAAGCUAUCUGAUGUUACAAUAUAUAUAUAUAUAUAUAAAUAGGGGCGGAACCAGGAUUAGAAAGUAGGGGGGUUGACUAAAAUUUCGGGGUUCGGGGCCACGCCCCGAAAAAAUUUUUAGGUUCGCAAAACAUUGAAAAAAUAGGUUUAUACUGCGAAAAAAAUUACGACACAUAUCUAUAAUAUCAUAUAUAUCUAUAAUUUAUAUAAAAUUACUGAGAAUAAACAAAAAAUUUAAGAUUAAGACACAUAUUUACAAAAUCUUUGGGGGGGCCAAAAGUAAUAUUCAAAAAAUAUUAGGUCAAAAUAGCUAAAAAAAAAUUUUUUUUUUUUCUUGGGGGGUCAACGGCCCCCCCCCCUGCCCCCCCUGGUACCGCCACUGUAUAUAUAUAUAUAUAUAUAAUUUAGUCGGACUUUAUUCGGGUUGAGCCAUGGUAAGCUCAAACUCGACUCACAAUUAAUCGAGCUUGGCUAAAAAAAAAUCGGACCGAGCCAUCGGACUUCGGGUAGGCCCGACUCAAUUGCCGGUCCUAAUUGAUUGUAUAUUAAUCCGUAAAAUAAGAAUGUCACUAUAGAUAGAAAAAUUAAAAUAUGAACGGAUUGUAUGGAUCUAAAAUUUCAAUUGAAGAAAUGCAUUAUAAAAUUCAAAAAUGGUAAGGUAAAUUGCAAUUAAAUAAUGUCAUUAAUUGAUUACCAUAAAUAUUUUAUGACAAUCCGGUAUAUGAUACUCCCUCUGUUCCACAAUAACUGUCUCUUUUUAAAAAUAUUUUUGUUCCAUAUUAUCUGUCACUUUAGCUUUCCAAUACUGCAUUAAAUUCAUUUUUUCCUAUUUUAACCUUAUUAAUUCAACUAAGUAUUAACUCUCUCUUAUCAUAUCAUUAAAUAAUCAAGGUUAUUUUAGUCUUUCUAAUAUAUUUUACCUAAAAUCAAGACACAUUUAUUGAGCUUCUUAAUCUUUGUGCAAAGCCAAAAACGACACUUAAUAGGGAACGGAGGGAGUAUAAGGUAAAUUAAUAAACAUUGGAAAAAUAUUUGUUUCUAUCUAUUUCUCUUAAUUAAAUGAAAAAGAUAAUUAAAGAAAGAAGUCAAAAAACGUAGGAUCAAAAUGAAGACUUAAAAACAUUGAUUGUGUAUUCUCCCUUUAUAUAUUACUAGCAUUUUUUACCCGUGCGAUGCACGGGAUCUUAUUUUAAAAGUGAAAAAAAAUAAUCAAUUUAAUACAUAAUAAGAAAAUAUUGUACACUAAAAUAGUAAAAUUUAAUAAUGUAAUAUUAUUCAUAUUUUAUAUAACAUUAGUUUUUUUAAAUCUUACAUAUUAAGAUUUAUAAUCCAAAUAGAAUUAACAAAUCGAAUUUCUAUCUUUAUCUCUUAAUAUUUGAGAUAUGUUGAUGAAAAUAGGAGAUUGAUAAUUGUUCAAAAUUAUAAUUAGAAAAUUAGUAGAGAAAAAAAAUUAAAAAUAAAUAACUAUUGAAGUACCAUUAGGAUAGGAUUCUUCACGGUUUAAUUUCAAUUUUGAUAAUUGUUAAAAAUUAUAGUUAGAAAUUAGUAUAGAAAAAUAUUAAAAAUAAAUAAUUACAGAAAUACCAAUAGGGUUUUUUAGGGUUGUCCAGCGUUUCUUUCUUUUAUACUAGAGUUUUGGCCCGUGCGAUGCACGGGGUUGAAGUAAAAUUAAUAUAAAGUAAAGUUCAAUUUAAACGACAAAAUUGAAGUUUCAAUUAAUUUUGAUAUUUUGCUAUACAUAUUGAUGCUAAUCCCCAUCCAUAAACUUUUUUGUCAUAUUUAUUAAUUUAACUUUAUAUUUUUGAUGUAAUAUGGUUGUAUAUUUAUCUUAUCUCAGUUAAUGUUAAAGUUUGACGAAUCUUCUUCUUUAUCAUCUAUAACAGGCUUCAGUAAAUUUACUGUAAAUCAAUGAUGUCAUUUAAUCUCAAGAGUUUAUAAGGAGCAAGUUUACUUUUAUUAAUAAGAUAAGAACCAAAUAUUUUUCUAAACAAUUAACUAAUUUUUCCAUCAAAUUAAUAUUAAGUAAAAAUGACAAUUUUUGUGUAAAAAAACCCGUAAAUUUGGGGCAAAAAAGUUUGAAUACUUAACGGAUUUAUUAAACUUGAUUAUAUUAAAUAUAAUAAAACAAUAAAAUUAAUUAAUUAAUAAUAAAUGACAAUUAUAAUUUAUAACUAUCAAAUGAACUGGAAAAAUUUCAUAUGGUUUAGCAGGAGCUACCUUACCUUUAUUAAUAAGAGAGCAACUUUACUUUUAUUAAUAAGAUAACAACCAGAUGUUUUUCUAAACAAUUAAAUAAUUUUCCCAUCAAAUUAAUAUUAAGUAAAAUGACAAUUUUAGUGGGAAAAUCUUACUUUUAUUAAUAAGAUAUUAAAUGAAAAUAAAUAAUAAAAGUACAUAAUUAAAUAAAUAAAUAAAAAUUAUAACUAUCAAGUGAGCGGGAAAAAUUUCCUAUGGUUUAGCAGGAGCCACCUUACUUUUAUUAAUAAGAUAUAAGAACCAAAUGUUUUUCUAAACAAUUAAAUAUUUUUCCCAUCAAAUUAAUAUUAAGUAAAAUAACAAUUUUAGUGGAAAAAUAUUACUUUUAUUAAUAAGAUAAGAACCAAAUGUUUAUCUAAACAAUUAAAUAUUUUUUCCAUCAAAUUAAUAUCAAGUAAAAUGACAAUUUUAGUGAGAAAAGAUACGUAGAUUUGGGGUCAUAAAGUCUAGAUACUUAACGACUUUAUUAAACUUGAUUAUAAUAAUAUAAUAAAACAAUAAAAUCUUAUUAUUAAUAGAUGAAAAUUAUAAUUAUCAAAUGAGCAGGAAAAAUUUUCCUAGGGUUUAGCCGGAACAACCUUACUUUAUUAAUAAGAUCUUAAAUAAAAAUAAAUAAUUAAAAUAAAUAAUCAAAUAAAUAAAUGAAAAUUAUACCUAUUAAAUGAGCGGGAAAAAAUUCAUAGAGUUUAGCAUGAGCAAUCUUACUUUUAUUAAUAAGUUACGUGGAUCUAGGGUCAAAAAAUCUGGAUUCUUAGUAGAUUUAUUAACCUUGAUUAUAUUAAAUGAAAUUAAAUAAUAAAAAUAUAUAAUUAAAUAAAUAAAUAAAAAUUAUAACUAUCAAAGGAGCGGGAAAAAUUUCCUAGGGUUUAGCAGGAGCAACCUUACUUUUAUUAAUAAGAAGAUAUAAGAUAUAGAUUAUAUAGAUUACAUAGAUUACAUAGAUUAUAGAUUUUACCUACCUGAACUAUAACGAACGCAUGAACUUCAAAAUGAACUUCAAAAUGAACCAAAAGGUUAGAAAUUUGAAGUAAUUAAGGAACACACCCUUUAUUUUAUAAUUUUUAAUAAUAUAGUUGGUUGACUGAUAAUUAUCAGUCAACCAACUUUUGAUAAUAUUAGAAACCACCAUCCGACCCAUUAUAGAUGGGUUGGUUGAAAUUUUCGACCCGAUCCAAUGGGUUGGUUAAAAAAAUAUUAUCCGCUUAAAAAUAUAGUCGGUAAUGGAUCGGUUGGUGGAUAAAAACCAACCCGAACCCAGCCCUACCGAUAAUACCUCCAGGCUCCAACCGACCCAUUGUUUGUCCGACAAAGUCGGUUGCCAAGCAUUAUCCGACCCAUAAUGCUCGGGCCGAUAAUGAGUUUUAAUAUUCAGCAAAAUUGGGUGGUCGAGUCAAAUAGGUAAUUGGCCGAUAAUUACCCGACCCGACUCACGUUCAACCUUACUGAUGCUAACCAAAUGUGGAUUGGGCAACCCAAGAGUAUUCGAUCCCCCAAUGAUAGAGAAUGCCGAAGGUCACUGGCACGUGCCAUGAGGUAGUCGAUGGGAUUGAUCCGCCCGUUAAUCUACAAAAUAGAUGGAAAACACUAGGUGACACGCCGGGGUUUACUUGAAAUCCAUAAAAUUUCCAAUUUAGAAAAAAACACUUUAAAUCUAUAAAAUUGUGUUAUUCGUUUUCUUCCAAUUCAUAAUUGACUAUUACGAAUUUUAAUUCAAUCAUAUUGAAUUCCAAUUUAACUAAGAUUAACAAAUUAAUCUUAAUUCUCCUUAUUAAGGAAUCAUCUCCACAAGAAGUGUGAUUCUUAAUGGUUCAUGUAUAAACUAGCCGUCGGCCCACAACUCUUUGUGAUUCGAAUAACUCUUUAUUCGAUUACGAGCUUGACCCUAGUGUUCCGAUUUAGAUUAAAAUAUAGUUUAAUCUAUAUCGCCGAUCAUAUCGGUUAAUGUCCAACGAAUCAUGAUUGAUGCCUAGCAACUACGUGUCAUGAGUCCCUAGAUACAAAUGAAGUGUCUGCAAGAACCUUAAAUAUAGUUCGCGUACAGUAAGGUCCCUUUGACUAAACAUAUGUACCGAUCGAACUAGAGGUAUUGGUUCACCGAGACCUCUAAAAUUAUUCAAUAACUGUGCGAACAUUUCAAAGCUAUGAAGUCCAUUCGUGUUUGACUUAGAGAAACUCUUUUCUCUAAUCACUACACUAUUUACUUCGUCCGAAGAUUCCUUGGACGAUAUACUUGAAAAACACACAGGACAUCCAUGCAAUUAAGCAAGCGGUCAAAUCCCUAACUACAAUGCACAGACUCCCAUUAGAUUUCGGACUGUGAACGGCCCUUAGAGUGGUCUUCGAGGCGACUGAGGGACAUGUCAAAACACAACUUGUUAUCUAAUGAAGUCGCAGUGGUGUAUUAGGUCUAAGAACUAAUGGUGUACAACUAUAAUCAUAUAAUAUCUAUUGAACUCAUCGACUAUGAACAACCACUUAUGUAUGUUAAUGUCUAUUAGGCGUAAGGAACUUGUUUAAUAGUUAUUUUACUUAAUAAAUUAUCUCAAUAUUAUAGAUCAAUUCAUACUAAUUAAAUAAUAAAUAUAAGUUCUAUAUCUAUGCAUAAUGAAAUAGGACAAUAGAUAUAGCUUGCUAAAAAUUGAAUUUAAUUAAUAACAAAAUAGAUUUUUACAAGUAACAUGAGAAGACCACAGCCACAACUUGACUUGUUGGUCACAUAGUGUAAAAGUAGAUACCUUCAUAAAUUCAUAUUAUUAAUUGUUAAAUAAAAAGAUUGUGAAUUAAUAUAGUUCUGGCAACUCAUUUUCUCCAAAAUGAAAGUUAAUUUCUUUCAGAUUUUUCUCCCAUUUCUCCGUGCAUGGAUUCCUGUCAAUUAGUAGGCCACCGAUCAUAACGAUGGUUGACGGCAUACCUCUGCACUUUUUCAGGUUCUCUCUUUAUAUAAUCUCAAAGUCACGUGGACACAAUUUGCCUUUGAAUUCCUUCACGGAUGUCUUGUUUAACAAUAAUUCCCAACUCUUCUCCGGGUCUAAAAGUUUCAUCUCGUGAAUAUACGGAGCAUUCAUCGUCGCCACCCGAUUGCGGCUUGAAAGUAACAAACUACAUGCUUUUUCUGUAAAAGAGAAGAUAAGUAAAUACUUUAUUUGAAUUUUUUUUUCAUCUACAUAUAAUAUAAAAUACAUAAUAAUAUAUUGAAUCAAAUGACCAAAAAAAAAUUCAAUACUUUGCGUAAAUUUGACCAGAAGCAUUGAGAUCACACAUUAACCAAGAAAUUGGACAACUACUUACACUAGAAACAAAUAAUUUUAGUCGAGUGCGCUUUAUGAUCAAACACAUGAUGAUGGAUAAAUACUGUCUUCAUAAGCUUUCAAAGUAUUAAUUAGUUAAUUAUACUAAUACUCACCUUGUGUGUUACACUUGAUAUAUACAUUUACAUAUCUAUUUAAAACAUGCAUCCACACAAACAGUGGUGGAUCCAGCAUGAAAACUCAGGGUAUGCCGCACAACAAACAAAAAUGAUUAAAUAUUCGAAUAUUACAUAGUAAAAACAUAACCAUGUUUCAAUUACAACUGAGAUUGAAAAUCUAUUUCUAGUCCAAACGUAAAUGCAUUCUCCUCUUACUCAAGGCUUGAAAGCGCUUGAUAAUAUCUAGAUCAUCGAUGUAAUAAACACUUCUUUCUCCACAAAUGCCACUAAGCAAUCAUUAAGCCAUGGAUUAGCCAUUCGAUUUCUCAACUCAUUCUUCACAUAUUUCAUGCCAGAAAAUACUCGCUCAACACUUGUCGUGGCCACCGGUAAUGACAAAGCUAGCUUCAAAAGUGUGUCACCAAUCCAAAUGUCUUGUGUUUUUUUGUACGAACAAGAGUCCUACAUAGAUCUGAAAUACCCUUUAAAUUGGAAAAAUUAUCGCCCAUCUUGACACACUCAAUAUAAGUCUCAAGUUGGCUAGACAACUCCUUAUCACUUACAUCCUCAAAGUCAUUUGGGUAGAAUCUUGCCAAAGUCACAAGUGAUUUAAUAUCAAAAUCUUGAAAUGAAGAAUAAGGAUUCAAACAUGCUACACAAGUCAACUACUCAACAUUUUCUGGUGUAAAUCGAUCACCCAACUCUUUCAUUACAAAAUCUAUGACAUGUAAAAAGCAAUUAUUCUUGAAAUAAUUGAGAUUUGUCAAUAAUGGAGCUAGUCUUUUGGAUUUAUUACCUUUCACAUACCUUGACUCCAUGUCGGGCACAUCUCUCAUUUGUUGAAGCCUUUUCUUACUUGGACAAGUUGCAUGGCGGUCACAAUAUCUUGAUCCCCUUUUGUAAUGCUUGAGACAAAUCAUUUGUCAACGACAAAACCUCAACCAUUAAGUGCAACAUAAAAACAAAACCAAAAGUUUGCAUGACAAAUAAUAAACUUUUUGGUUCACCCUUUGAAGAUUUAUCACUUUUCAAAUCUUCAUGCACUUCAAUAAUGGGAGUAAACAAAUCAACCAACCUACUAAGAGUCCGAAAGUGAGAUCCCCACGUGUAUCACCCGCUCUUGCAAUAGACAACUCUUGGUUCAAACCAGUACCCCAUCAUCAAUUAGAUUUGCAAAAUGAGCAACUUGUUUUUUUCGAAGUAAAGAUUGUCGUUUGUUAGAAGACCAUAGAAAGUUUACAAUACGAGACACUUCAAGGAAAAACCAAUCAACAUCUUCAUGCUUCUGAGCCAUUGAAGCAAGAGCCAAUUGAAGUUGGUGAGCAAAACAAUGCACAUAAUAGGCUUGUGGAUUCUCUUUUUGAAUCAAAGUUUUCAAUCCACCAAAUUGACCUUUCAUGUUACUUGCUCCAUCAUAUCCUUGUCCUCGAAUUUUAGAUAUACACAAUCCAAAUCCCGACAACAAAGUUUCAAGAGCAUCUUUAAGCGCUAUCGCACUUGUAUCCUCAACAUGAACAAUGCCAAUAAAUUGUUCGACAAUAAAUCCUCUAUCAUCAACAAAACGCACAACUACUGCCAUUUGUUCUUUACGAGAGCAAUCACCGGACUCAUCAACAAGAACACUAAAGAAACCAUCUCCAAUUUCUUCAACUAUUUUUUUAACAGUUUCAACGGCACAUGCAUUUGCAAGUUCUUUUUGAAUAACAGGAGAAGUCAUCUUACAAUUUCCUCCACCACUUUUAAAUGCUUCUGCUAUUUUCUCAAUGUUUCUCCCUAAUGCUUCGAUAAAUUCUAGAAAAUGGCCCUUAUAAAUAUAAUUUUCCCCCUCAUUAUGUGCCCUAAACGCAAUUCCACCUCUAACAAGAAACUUGACUGCUUCAAGUGAUGUUUUUGAACUUAUCAAGAUAUCUUGUGGCGUUCAAACAGUCAGACUUAUCAUCAAGAUUCUUGAAUUCAUCUUGAACUCUUCGUGUGGCGUCUUCGUAUCCAUUGUAACCGUGGUUCGUGAUUUACUAAUCAUUGGGUCAAGGUUCGACACACUUGUUUCUUUGAGGAGUCUUGGGGUUCCAAAACCAUAUAUUGUUAUUGGGUUCCGUCACAUGUUGGCGUAGUUCAUAUCAACACAUUAACCAAGAAUUUGGACUACUACUUACACUAGAAACAAAUAAAUACUUUCUUCAUAAGCUUUCAAAGUAUUAAUUAGUUAGUUAUACUAAUAUUCACCUUGUGUGUUACACUUGAUAGAUACAUUUACAUGUCUAUUUAAAACAUGCAUCCACACAAACAACAAAAUAUAUAAAUCUAUUCACUAACAACAUGUAGGUGAUUUUAAGUUAUAUUAAUUAAAAUAUAAAAAUGUACCUUCACAAGGAAAGAGACUUGCAAGAGUUUCCCAAUGUUCGUCUUCCCAUACGUCGUCAAGGACUACGAGGUACCGUUUUCAUUCCAGACAUCGGCUCAGCCUCCAGGUGAGUUGAGACAAUGUCUCUUUGUCUAUAAAAAAGGUUCGGUGAGCACCUGCGCCAUUAGUUCCUUAAUGACUUGUUUGGGGUUGAAUUCACUGAAAACAAAAACCCAAAGACGAUAGUCGAAAUGAUCGGCAACUUGUGUAUGGUUGUACAGAUGCCUCGCAAGGCACGACUUCCCAAUGCCGCCCAUGCCCACGUUGGUGGCGACAGAAAGCUCCCGAGCGCUCUCGUUCAGAAUGAAUUCCUUGAGCAGGUUAUUCGUGUCUACGUCCACGUCCACGACGUGUUUGUCUUGUUGUCAAUAAGCCAAUCGCCUCCGACACCCCACCAUAUUUGGUAGUAGGGGUGGGCAUUCGGGUCGGGUCGGGUUAUUCGGGUUAUUCGGGUCGGGUUAUUCGGGUUUUUUGCAAAAAAAAAAUUACCCGAACCCGACCCGAAAUAACCGGGUACCCGGCAACCGGGUACCCGGUUAUCUCGGGUCGGGUUCGGGUCGGGUUCGGGUUUUGCUAUUUUCCUCUUUUUUUUUUUUUUUUUUUUUUUUUUUUUUUUUUUUUUUUAAAUAAACAAUAACUAAAUUUACUUAAGAUAUAUAUAUAUAUAUAUAUAUAUAUAUAUAUAUAUAUAUAUAUAUAUAUAUAUAUAUAUAUAUAUAUAGACAUAUACAUAGUAACAUAUACUGACUGAUAUACAUAUAUAUAUCUAUAUAUACAUAUAUUGAAUUAUUUAUAUAUAUAUAUAUAUAUAUAUAUAUAUAUAUAUAUAUAUAUAUAUAUAUAUAUAUAUAUAUCUUUAUAUAUAUAUAUAUAUAUCUUUAUAUAUAUAUAUAUAUAUAUAUCUUUAUAUAUAUUAAAAAAAAAAAAAAAAAAAAAAAAAAUUCAACCGGGUACCCGAUCGGGUACCCGGGUAGGAUUUCUAAUACCCGGACCCGACCCGGUUUGGGAGCACCGGGUACCCGAACCCGGGAAAAACCCGGUUACGUAAAAAAUUACCCGACCGGGUCGGGUAAUACCCGACCGGGUCGGGUUAUACCCGAAUAACCCGACCCGAAUGCCCACCCCUAUUUGGUAGGCUGCUGGAGAUCCUGAGUGCCAUGUGGCUUCUGUUGAUGUCGUCGAGCCUAGCGUGGAUUGACUGGAUCUCUUGUCUGAUUUUUUUCGAGUCAAUCCAGGCUACGCACUUUCCCAGUAGUGUUCGUUUUCUUCAAAUGAAAGCAUCAUGGCAUCUUCUGUAUCUUGAGCAACGUCUCUUAUUUUCGAUAUCCAAUUACGUAUUCUCUCAUUAUUGGAUUCUUUAUCGGAUGCGUCUUUCUGAAACGAUUGCAUACGUUCAAGUCUUCCUUUCAAAAGUCUCAAUUGUCCCUCCACGCAUUCUUCUUGCAACAAAGUUGCCUUCUUGAUUAGUAAUUCGCCUAGCCUUUCCACCGCAAUUAAGAUUGCUACAUCCGCCAUAUCUCACAGAGUUUGUUGUUGUUUUUUAUUUCGAAAUUUAUAAUUAGUUAUGCUGGAAUUUAUUCUACCUAAUAAUACCAUAAGUACAUAUAUUAUCUUAAUAAAAAGAAACAUCAAUUAAUUUAAAAUUUGAACGGUUGAUUUUUUCUCUCUUAGAACAAAAAGAAAUACUGAUUUUAAAACAAGGAUUAAACGGAAUCGCGAUUCAGAUUCAAAACGACCAAUAGAAUCAUAAGAAUUACUCACCUUAUUCAAUUAUCCUUCGGAAGAAAGAAAGAAAACUCAACGAAAAAACCCUAGAUAGUUUGUGUUGCAAGUAAGUGUCGAAUCCAUGUGCAUUUAUAAAAACCCUAGAUAGUUUGUGUUGGCAACGGAUUGCACGCAAGUGUAGAAUCCGUGUGCUUUUAUAGAGGUAUUAGUAAUUAGGGGUAAAAUCCAUCUUCAUCCCUGAGGUUUACGAUCAAAAUUCAAUUAGUCCCUCAGGUUCUAAUUUGUUUGAAUAUCAUCCUCCAAAUUCAAUUUUACCGCCAAAAUCAAAUAUAUUUUUCUUAAUGCCCAAAUUGCCCUUCAAACUUUGGGGACGAAAAUGAAGUAUAUUUAAUUUGACAAUUUCAGAAAUAUAAUACUUAUUUAAAUAGUAAAUAGUAUAAUAAAUCAUAUACAUUAAAGUUAAAUAUCCCAAGGUAUUAUAUUUUAGAAAUUUUGCACCAAAAAAUAAUCAAUAUUAAAAUGCUAAUUUAUAUGAACCAACAAUACAUCAUUUAUCAUGUUUAAUAUUUUUAAGGGAAAAUUACUAUAUUUAGGGCUUCACACAAUUGAUAUAAAUAUUAUUUUAGAUUUGAUUUAUCGGAUUAUUUGAAAGACCCCUCAUAUGGAAAAUAUUUUGAAUUAACCACCAAGGUGAUUACACCAUUAUGUAGGGGUGUGCGCAGGUCGUAAACCCGCCCUCAUCCCGUCAACCAACGGUUCUUGAUUUUAAGGAACCAAACUUAUGGGUUUUCGACGAGUUUAGGAUAGAACAGUCUAUUGCUGGUUUAAAGUAGGAUCCAACCUUCACGGGUCGAAACUCGUCGUAAUUUAAAAAAGUUAUUUUCUUUAAUAAUAUGUAAGUUUUACGCGAAAUUAUUUAGAAAAUUAAAAUGAACGACCAAGCGUAAUUUUUUUUAAAUUGAAACGAACUAGAAUAACAUCAAUGAUAAAUGGCACGAGUAAAUCAAAAUUAAUACGUUUUAACCAUAAAUCCAAAAAAGAGUAACUAAAUUUAAACCGUUAUAAGACAUGAUUUAAAAUAAAAUAGCUAACCAUUGACGAAACGAGACGAUGUCGUCGCUAUAGAUAUAAGUUUUGACAUGUAAGAGAUAUUUUAUUCAUGUAUUAUAUUAAUUUAUUAUACUACAUAAUAUAAACAAAACGACGUCGUUUUGUAUAGCGGGGCGGACGGGUUUCACGAGUAUUAAAGUUUUUUGAACCCUUCUUAAACCCGAACCCGCGGAUCUUAACCAUUUCCGGACGCAAUCCUAUAGAUUGAUCUAUCUGUCCGGUCCUAGCGGGGCGGUUUUACUGGGUUUGAUGGGUUCAACGGGUUGAUGGGUCUGACUUGCUCACUCCUACUUAAAUCACCUCAAAAAGGUAAGAAUAUCUUUUAUUUUUUGUUUUAAAGUUUAGUUAUUAACCCUGUGUUUUAUCGAAUUGCUAGAAAAUUCUCAUAAUAUUAAAAUUUGCCAAAACCCCGUAAUGUAUUUUUUUAGCACGCAACCCCUAGAUAGUGAGUAGGGGUAUUUUUGCUACAAAAAAUGAAUCAUGGGUAGGUUUUUGCUGAUGAAAGAAUUCACAGGUGUGCUGAAUGUAAUAAAACAUUUUUGAGUGUUUUGAGCCAUUGUAUAUAUAACUACGUAUGGCUUUGGUAGGUGACGAUGAUCCUGCAAGAAUCGCUAAGGUUGUACUCACCGAUACCUCUGACAAGGGAAAAUUACAUUUUUCGUCCUCAUACUUUACCCACUUUUUCAAAACUGUCCCUAAACAUUUUGGAGUUACAAUAGUAGUCCUUAAUCAUGCCAUUUUUUGACAGAAUUGGUCCACCGUUAACUUUUGCAGUUAAGUUGGAUAGAAAAUGGCAUGUGCCUCUCACAUGCCUUCAAUUUACAACACUACAUGAAAAUGGACUUUCAACACCACGCAUCGCGUCUUGUUAAAACAUAUUUUUUAUACUUAUUAUUUUUAAUUAAAAUUUAAUAUAAAAUCGAAAUCACGUCAAUUCCAAAAAAAAUCAACUCUUUCGAAAAUAUUGUUUAAAAAAUCAAAAUAUAGUUUAAAAAUUUAAAUAUUUUGUUCCAAAAUCGGUAUUUUUGGAAUUCAAUUAAAAUAUAUCGUUUUAAACCAAGAUAAAAAACCUGAUAAGAAUUGGGGAAUUAGAAAUCUCCAUACCAAUUUUCACCUCUAGUCAAUACCAAAAAUCCCAAUUGUGAGACAAUAGGUCGAGUUUUAAAUCAUUCAAUAUAGGUGAAUAUUGGAAAGGAGUUUUCUUAUGCUGCCUAGUUUCAUCGAGUUUUUAUUUUAUUUGGAAAUAAUAUUUUCAUUCAAUUUCCAAAAAUUCCGAUUUUAAGACACAAUAUUACUUUUUUAGACAAUAUUAUGAUUUUUUAAACAAUAUUUCUGAAUUUAUUUUGAAAAAAAUAUCGAUUUUUAGAUUAUUAAAUAAAGGUGAAAAUUGGAACGGAGUUUUCUUACUCCGCCUAUUACGAUCAGAUUUUUAUUUUAUUUAAAACAAUAAUUUACAUUUGGAUUCAAGAAAUUCCGAUUUUAAAACAUUAUAUUAUUAUUACAGAGACAAUACUUCUAAAAAUAUUUUGAAACAAUUUAUCGAGUUUUACAUUAUUAAAUUAGGGUGAAGAUUGAAAUGGAGGUUUCUUAUCCCGCCUAUUCGGAUCGAAUUUUUAUUUUAUUUUGAAACAAUGUUUUCAUUUGAAUUCCGAAAAUCUUGAUUUUGAAAGCAAUAUUUCAUUUUUUUUAAAACAAUGUUUCAAUUGUUUAAAGAAUAUUUCUCAAAAUAUUUUCAAUGUUUAAACUAUAUUUUGAUUUUUUAAACAAUAUUUCCGAAAGAGUUGACUUUUUUGGAAUUUACGUGAUUUCGAUUUUAUAUUAAAUUUUAAUUAAAAAUAAUAAUUAUAAAAAAUAUGUUUUAACAAGACGCAGUGCGUUUUGUUGAAAGUCCAUUUUCAUGUAGUGUUGUAAAUUGAAGGCAUGUGAGAGGCACAUGCCAUUUUCCAUCCAACUUAACUGCAAAAGUUAACGGCGGACCAAUUCUGUCAAAAAAUGACAUGAUUAAGGACUACUAUUGUAACUCUAAAAUGUUUAGGGACAGUUUUGAAAAAGUGGGUAAAGUAUGAGGACGAAAAAUGUAAUUUUCCCCCUCUGACAACAAGAGAAGCUACAGAGACGGUGAAACUAGGAAAAAAUGACUAUUCCAUCAGGGGAACUAUUGUCAAUUAUAAUAGGCAUACUCCAUCGCAAUCCCGAUAUUUGGGGUGACGAUACAAAUGAGUUCAAACCUCAGAUGAUUUUGCGCAGUCUUGAAUCGUAAAGCAUUUGUGGCUUUUCUACGUCAAUAAUUGGAUAUACCAUGUAAUAAUAAUAAUAAUUUUCUGUCAUGCUCUAAAACUCGUUUGUUAUCUAUUUCGGGCUCCAUCUGUUACUACUAUUAGGUUCUAGUGACUAAAUAGUAGGAGUUAGUAAGACCUUCGGUUGAGAAUAUCCGUACUAACUCAAACCUGCAACAAAAUGAAAAGCCCAUAUUAAGUUCUAAUGUUUCAUUAAUUUAGUAGCACCCCUCCUCCGAGAUUAAUUUUAUAGGGGGUGACUAAACAAGAAAAAAUCUAUUUUAUCAUUCAAACUAAAUGUUAACUUUGCUAAAUAAAAUGUUUUAUGGUCAAAUUACAUAUAACACUGGAAUUUAACGGAUCGUUUGGUUACCGCUAUAAGGUUCUACUGACUAAAUAUAGUAGAGGCUAGUAAUACGUUCGGUUGACAAGAUUCACACUUUUUCUAAUCUGCUACUAAAACAAAGCCCGCUGUUUGAUUCUAUUACUUCAGAAUUAGUAGCACGUAUCCCUCUGAGACUAAUUUCAUAGGGGGUGACUAAAUAAGUUAAAUAAUAUAUUGUCAUUCAAACUACGUGUUAAUUUUAUUAAAUAAAAGGUUUUAUAAACAAGUCAUAUAUAAUACCAAAAUUUAACAUAUUUAAUACGAGAUAUAAUCCAAUGAACCGAAAGUCUACUAACUAAAUAAUUAAUUAAUUAGUCAAUAGAUAAUUAAUCCAAUCUAAUUUAAUACAAAGUAAUCCGAAAUAGGUAACCGGACGAGCCUUUAAUACAAUAUCUCUAACAUACCGAACAUCUUAAUAGCUUGAAUCUCAUCUAAUCUAAACUCAAUACAUAUAACCAACCAUAUGAGCUCUUAUAUCUUAAACUAUUAAGGCCUCGUUUGCUUAAUAAGUAAUCUUAUCACUUAAAGUUAAAUUAAUUAAUAAGGUUAUAUAAUGAAAAUAUUUUUAAAAAGUGACACAUAUUCUGAACAGAAGAAGUAAUUAAUUAGGGCUUAAUCCCGCUUUGCACCCUCGCAAUAGAGUUUUUUGGCACUUUGCACCCUUGCAAAAUAAUUAUAGCACUUUGCACCCUCAAAACACAAUAAAUCAUUCACAAUGCACCCUGAAUUGAAUAAUAAAGACAAUUUCAUUUUUUAUUGGUUUUUUUUUUCCGGGGUUCAAAAAAAACAAAUUAAAUUGUUACUUUAUUCAACCACCAACUUAAUUUCGAGCGCACUAAGUACGAAAAAAUAAACCGAAUUAUUGAAAAAAACAAUAUUUUCUUACAAAAUAAAAUAUUUUUUUAUCACGAACUUAUUUGAUUGAUGGAUCUUUUAUUGUAGUUGGUGGAAAUAUUAUGUAGAAAUAUUUGGAAGAAAAUAUGAUUUUCAGAUAACUUGAUAACGAAAUAGCUGGAGGAAUUUUUUUAGUAAAAUACUUUUUUGUGAUAAUUUUUUUUUAAAUACGUUGAUGAAAUGUAUUUUUAUUUUUGUACUUUAUAGUUUUAAAAUACUUUAUGAAUAAAAAAAAUUGAUUUGACAUUUGGCAUCCUAAAAAAAUACCACUAAAAAUAUUAAAUUGCCUUUAUUUGAUUUAAAAAUUCAUUUGGGGUGCAUUAUGCAUGGUAUAUUGUGUUUCCAGGGUGCAAAAUGCUAUUAAUUUGUUUCGAGAGUACAAAGUGUCAAAAUGGCAUGUUCAAGGGUGCAAAGUGGAGUUAAGCCAAUUAAUUAGUAUAAAAUUAAUUCAAUCUAACUUUAUUCAAUAUAGACGAACGGAGUCUUAGAGCCCGUUUGGCUAAGCUUAUUAAAAACAUCUUAUAAGCUCCUACAUCUGAUAAGAUGUUUUAGGAGCUGAUAAGCUGUUAGAUCUUAUUUUAAAAAUUAUUUUUAAGGUGUUUGGAUAUGUAACUUAUAAGUUAAUUUUAGUUUUUUAUAAGUUGUUCAGGUGUUUGGAAAUAAAAAGGUCCGUUUAUCGCUAUAAUGACAAAAAAGUACAUGACUCCAUUAUAACUGUCAAACUAAUUCGACUUAAAUAAUUUUGUUCCUAAAAUGUUAUUAUAAUAGUAUUUACAAAUUAUUUUUUCAAAUAAAAAUAAUAAUAUAAAAUUAUAUAUUAAAUAAACCAAAUAUUUUUUUUAUGUAUGUUGAUUUGACAUUUUUUUAAAAUAAAAUGAAGAGUAAUAAAAUAUUUUAAUGAAACAGAUUUGUGAAAGUUUUAAUUUUUGUCCCAUUAAUAUAUUAAUAUAAAAUAAAAUAAAGGUUGUAAAAGAAAUAUAUUUUUUUAUAGAUAGACAAAAGAAAUAUAAUUUAUUAUUGAGAUAAUAAGAAUAUUCGGGUAUUUUUAUAUACAUAUAAAAUAUAAAUAGAGAAUAAUUAUUUUUACAAUUAUUAUGAUAAUUAUAUUUUAACUAAUUAUUAAUCUUGAUUAUAAGAAUACGUUGUUUUGAUAAAAUAUAGAUGUUAUUAGUAUUCAUGUAAUAUAAUAAAGUAUUUGAGGGUAAUUUUAUAUUUUGAGUGUUUUAGUAAAGAAGCAAAUAAGAUCUUAUAGAAAAAAGGUGGGGUGGAGGUACUUUUUUUAAAACAUCUUAUAAGCUCACUAACAGCUUAUUUUUGGAAAAAAUAAGAUCUUUUCUAAUUUUUUUACCAAACACUUUUUAACAGCUUAUAAGCUCUUAAACAUCUUAUAAGAUGUUUUUAGGAGCUUAUAAGCUUAGCCAAACAGGCUCUUAGAGGGUGUUUGGCUAAGCUUAUAAGAUGUUAAAAGGAGCUUAUAAGAUGUUUUAGAGCUUAUAAGCUCUUCCAAAGUGUUUGGUAAAUUUUUAGAAAAAGAUCUUAAUUUUUUUUUAAAAUAAGCUGUUGGAGAGCAAAUAAGAUCUUUUUAAAUAAGUACCUCUACCCCACCUUUUUAUUUAAGAUCUUUUAAUGAGUAAAAAUAGGAAAUAAGCCCAUUAUCCAAACACUCUAAAAAUUAAUCCAAAAAAUAAGAUGUAACAGCUUAUCAGCUCUUAAAACAUCUUAUCAGACGUAAGAGCUUAUCAGCUGUUUAAAAUAAGCUUAGCCAAACACCCUCUUUUCUAGUACAUCUUAUAUAGUACAUUUCUUCUUUUUAGUAUAGUCCCAAGAUAGAGCGCUCACUCAGCGCCGCAAGAGAGAAGGAAACAACUUGCAUUUAAUUAAGGGUAAAUAGCACUUAACCCCCUAUGGUUACAACUUUUGCAGAUGACUCCCUUAUACUUUUAAUAUCAGCACAUAACCCAUCGUGAUUGAUGGGGGUAGUUUCCAUUUAUUUUUUCGUCAAACUUAACAGCCAGUGUCAAACGUCAAAGUAUUUUUUCUGCAAAUGACCCUCUUGUGCUUUCAUUUUCCCUUUCUUUUUGCAUAUGACCCCUUGAAAUUUGACACACGCUGUUAUGUUUAACGGAAAAAACUAACGGACGUUACCCCCAUAAACCACAAAGGAGUUAUGAGCUGAUAUUACGACCACGUAGAUAUACAUAAAUUAUCUACAAAAGCUUCUAACCAAAGAAUCAAGUGUUAUUUACCCUUUAAUUAAUUUACACGCAACAUAAGUUAGAAGCAAAAUUAGUCAGCCAUGUGCUACGUGUAUCAUUUCCAGGUAAAUUGGCUGAUAAAUUAUAUCAUAAUCAAUGUUAAAAUAUAAAAUUGCCCAUUACUAAAGUUCGUUAUAAAUGCAGAUUAUUUCAACGUUUCAUUGGUGGCUAGAGAUGAAGAUGGAUUAUGUGUGUGGUGGCGAGUGUGCGAAUCCGAGGUUGAGUUUCUCCAGUGGAAGGGGAGGCUCAAGCAGUCCGACAAGCGAUUAUCAUAGCGCACCGUUUUCAUUGGAGCUCUAUUAUAUUUGAUGGAGAUUGUCUACAGGUUAUGGACGCUCUUCGUUGCGGAGAUCAUUCUCUCACACCUUUUGGUGCAAUUGUUGAUGAAUGCCUGUUUCUUGAUAGGUCAUUUAUUUUCAUGAAAAACAUAUAACGUGCAAUUUAAUCUUAUUAAAUUAAACCUUAUAUUUAACGGAUCCGAAAUAUUACCUCUUGAAGCGUGAGGCGAACUAUCGGAUUGAAGCAAACUACCACGGAAACCAAUCCGUGCAGUCAAAAGGAGCAGCGGCGACGAACGCGCUCAACGACGGCGGCACGUGAGAUCCACGCGCUGUCUUCGGGCGGCGCGUGCGGCGGUGCUUCGGCGAUGGUUUCUCAGCAAUUCGACUCCUUGGUCUUUCUCCUCUCGGAUUUCACCUCGUAUACUGAGAUCUACUAAAUACGUGGCACUAGACACGCAAAAGUUAGAAUAGACGGAAGAAAAAGACAAAAGGAUAGAAACUACCAAUGACGAACGGUGCGUGAGGCCGAUUCCGGCGACGGGCGGUGGUGGUGGCGACGGCCGUGGGUGAGAAUGGCCGAGGGUUGUGGGAUCCGAGCGGCUAGGGUUUUGAUUAUGUGUUGUGUGUGGUUCAAUUUGUGCAAGACCUAUAAAUCAUGUAUUUAUAGUGUCUUGUAUAAAAGCCCUAACGGGCUUAAAUUGGACCGGGCCCUACAACUUAAGUUCGUUAGUUCUUUACUCGCUCGUAUCUCACAAUUCAAUGAUCGAAAAAUUGUAACGAUUACAUUUUCAGAAUCAUUGCAACGUCCUCAUCAUUACGAGUGCCAAUUCUCGAUUUCCAAUUUCUAAAAGUGGAAACCCUAAUUCAUUGGACCUUCUAAAUUUGGAAACUUCCCAAUUUAGAAAGUUCACUAAGAUGUUCGCCUAUUCUUUUCCUUUUCUUAUUCUCAUUCAUAAUUCCAAAUUACGAAUGUUGGACUCAAUCAUAUCGACUUCCAAUCAUGCAAAAAUUAAACAUUUUUAUCUUUGACCGUUUAUUCAAAGAUCUCGAGUGCACGGGCAGUGUGACCCUCGAUGGUUCAGGUGUAAGCUAGCCGUGGGUCCACAACCCUUUGUGGUCUAAACUCGUCCCUUAGAGUUACGAUUAAGAUUAAGCUCGUUUCAACUUAAUCACCCAACGAAUCAAGAUUGGCGUCUAGCAACUACGCUUCAUGAUUCCCUAGAUACAAAUGAAGUGCCUGCAGUAACCUUUUCAUAUAGUUAACGUACAAUACGAUCCCUUCGAUUCAUAUGUCCCGAUUGAACUAGAGACAUUGGUUCAUCGAGACCUCCUUAGUAGUUCAAUAACUGUGCGGUCGUUCUAAGUGUUGUAAUCGGUACGUGCAUGACUUAGAAAAUCGAAUUCUCUAAUCAUAACUUAGUCAGCUCUGGCCAGAGACUUAGAGAUUACAAACGAUGAGAACACACAGGACAUCCAAGACUAUUCUAGCGAUCGAAUCCCCGACUACAAUGCACAGACUUCCCACUAGAUUUCGGACUGCACGAACACUGGCCCUUGGGGCGGUGCUCGGUGGAACUCAGGGACAGGUCACGAUACAGCUGGUCCUCUAGUGAAGUCACGGUGAUGUCUAGGUCAUAAGGACUAAUGGUGUACAACUAUACCAUAGAUAUUUCUACUCGAUUAUUGAGAACCACUUCGAGAUUUCUAGGGUGAGGGAGUUCAGUGAACUCGUCAACUUAGGAACACCCACUUAUGUAUGCCGAUAUCACAAUACCGUUUACUGAUGAGAUGCAGUACACAUACACUAAGUGCUAGUCUCUUAAUGGAAAAGGCCGAUAUCCUCAUUGGUGGCGUAACCCUUCGACUAGGAACACGUUUAGCAGUUAUAAUACUAAAGUAAAUGUCUCAUGAUCCUAAAAGAUCAAUUACUAGUACUUGUAAUAAGUGUAAGGACUAUAUCUAUGUUUGAAACAAGGGACAAAGAUAUAGAAUGCCAAGGUGUUUUAUCAUUAUUACGAAAAAUGAUUAUUUAUUACAAAAAUAAAUGGAAAAACCACAGCCACAAGUUGGCUUGUUGGUCACCUACUCUAACAAAAACAUAGUCCACGACGCCAGCCACAAUUUAUUUUUGUAAUGGGUUUUUAUGAAUAAGUCUCUGACCAACCAUCUUUAUUAUUCUGGGUUCAGUGGUUAUAUUUCUUUCGCCAAUAAGCCAAUCCCUUUAAUAUGUAUUAUAAAUAAAGGCAAAACUAAUGUAUAUGACAAAAUUAGCCGCAACCCGUUAAAUUAAAUUCUUAAUUGUAACCCCAAUUUAAAUUCAAUUUAAUCAAUUUUAACCACAAAAAUCAAAUUUGGCUUUUUCUUUUUUAAACCUUUUUUUUUCUAAUAUUUUUUUUGCCGCCGGUCUCCGCCAUUGACUUUUUUUUUUUUUUUUUUGUUCCUGUUUGCUUUUUCCCCGGCCGGUUUCCGGCGUUGACUUUUUUUUUCUCCCCUAAAAUUUUUAUCCUUUUUUUUACGCCCGCUAAACGUUGACCGUAAUUGUACUGUCAUUAACAAUAAUUAUACUGUCGCUGACAGUACAUUUACGUAAUUGUACUUUCGUUGACAGUACAUUUACGUAAUUGUAUUGUCGUUGACAGUACAAUUACCAUCAACCAGAACAAUAUUAUUAUUUUUUUGCCUUUUUUAUUUUUAUUUUUUUUGACUUGUUGACAAGUCAACGUAAUUAUAUUACUGUUGUUGACGGUAAAAUUACUGUAAACACAAUAAUAUUAUUGUCAACCACAUCAAUAUUAUCUUCUUUUUUUUUUGCCUUUUUGUUUUGUUUGAUUUGUUGACCGAUUAACGUAAUAAUAUUAUUGUCUACUAUUUUAAUAUUACUAUAAACACAAUAAUAUUAUUGUAGUCGACGGUAACAUUACUGUCGUUACAGUAAUACUACUGUCAACCACAUCAAUAUUAAUUCUUUUGGGUUUUUUAUUAUGUUUGCCUUUGUUUAACGGUCAACAUAUUAAUAUUACUCUAUUACACAAUAAUAGUGAUUUUUGUUGUGUUAAUAUUACUGUGCUAGAGAGUAAUAUAUCAAUAUUAUUGUGUUAAACAGUAGUAUAGUUAAUAUUACUGUGUUAAACAAUAAUAUAGUUAAUAUUACGGUGUUAAACAUUAAUAUAGUUAAUAUGAAUGUCAACCACAGUACUAUUACUCUUUAAACGGGCAAAAAGAUGUUGAAGAAAAAAAACUCAAAAAAAAAAUAAAAAAAAAAAAAAAGUCAACGCCUGAAACAAGCUGAAAAAGCAGGAGCAAAAAAAAAUUUAACGCCGGAGACCGGCGGUCAACGGCGGAGACGGGCGAAAUUGUACUCAAAAUUGAGUUUUGGGUCAAAAUAGAAUAAUUUGUGAAAUUUUGGGUGAAAUUGAGGUUAAAUUGAAUUAAAUGAUGAAAUUGGAGCAUAUUAAAAUGUGAGGGGGUAUUUUAGUGUUUUACAUACCUCUUGAUAAUGUGUGGACUUUUUUGUAAAAGAGUUUUUUAUCUGGACCCAUUUAUGAAUAAGUAUCCAUGAUGAGCUUAUUUGUAGUGGACCCAUAAAUUAAUACAAUCGGGCCUAGCAAAUUUUAUUAAUUUAGCGAAAUAUUAAAUUAUCGAACUAAUAAUUUAGAAGGUUUUAACGAGUCGAGACCAGAAAAAACUAUUGUUUAAACAAGGUUAUUAAUUUCUCGAGUAUUAAUUUAUUGAGGUUCUAAUGUAUAUUUUAUAAAAAGUUCAAUUGAUUAAAGUACUAGUGCACUGUGCACUAAUACUUUAUAAUUUCUGACUUUAUCAGUUAAAUCUAUGGGAAAGAUUCGAAAUUAAAUAUGAAGGUGACCCUAGAUACCGGAUAUUAAAAAUAAUGAAUUUGAUGUAAGGUCUAUGGAACGGAGGUUUGCAAUAAAUCAACCUAUUUUUUAACUUUAAGGCUAUAAAAAAUAAUUAAAAUUAGUUGACUUUAUCAUAAUUAAGCUCACAUCUAACUUUUUUUUCCUCUUUUGUGAUAGAUGGUUGGAGUUCGAAAUAGCUGACUCAACUAAUCAAUAUUAUUUGACUUCGGUAUAAGCUGACAUCUGACUUUUUUAUUUAUUUAUUUACUUUUAGUGGCAGGUCGUUGGAGCUGAUAGGAUUAGCUGACCUUAUUAGAUGGUUUCAUCAUUAGCUGACAUCUGACUUUUUUUUCUUUCGAUAAUGGGUUGUCGAAAUUCUAAUUAGAUGACUUCCAUUAGUUGACUUCAGCAUCAGCUGAAAUCUAACUUUUUUUUCGACGGCGUGUUGUCGUAGCUCUGAUUUAGUUACUAAUUCAAGUUAACUGAUGUUGAAGUAAGUUUAUCAAAAAAAAAAAAAAAACAGGUGUCAGAUAGUGUUGAGUCCUAUGUCGGAGCUCCAAUUACCAACCGUCGGAAAAAUAAAUAAAAACAAAUCGAAUGUCAGCUAAUGCUGAAGUCCUCUAACGUUGAAGUCAGCUAAUUAGAGUUUCGACAACCGCUACCGAGGGAAAAAAAAAGGAUAAAAAAAUAAUAAUAAUCGGAUAUCUGCUAAUGUUGAUUAGUUGUGUCAGCUAAUCAGAGUUCCGACCAACCCAAUUUUUUUAUUUUUUUUAAAUAAUUAAAUAGUACUAAUAAUAAUGAAUAAGAUAAACAAAUCCUUAUUAUGGUUUGAAAAGGGUAAAAAUGGUAUAAACUAAUUAUUUGGGUUUAUGUCAAAUGAAACUUGGCUUGCAAUUAGUAGGUUUUUUACUAAAAAAAUAUAAAAUUAGUUGUGAAGAACUAUCUCAAAUAAAUCCUAUAUUAAAAAUUGAUAUAGGAUUUUUUUUUCUUCUCAAAAUCAAUAAAUUGAUAAAGAUGAAAUUUGAAGCAAAACCGUUGACCCAACUCCAUUACGGUUUACCAUCCGUUAGUUCGAUUAUUUGUUUUCUUAGAUUAUUCGAUCAAUAACUUGCAAAUCACACAAGAGAUGUAAAUCAUACUAGGUAUAAACUAUGCGCGACAAACUCUAACACCUGACUACAUCUGCUCACUAAUUUACAGUUUUCUUGUUUAUGGCUGAAGAAGAGUCGAGCUUUAAAAGCUGGCUAUUGAAUAUUGCUUUAUUUCCACUACUCUUACUUGCAACGAGGAGAUCAUGGAUACUUUUUCAAAACUUAUACCAUUUUAAAACAUAUCCUUGUCUUGGAGUUGGUUAAAAUUAGGGUAAAUAACACUCAACCCCCUGUCCUGUGAUUACAACAUUUUGCAGAUGACACUCUUGUGGUCUUAAUAUCAGCACAUAAUUAACCCCCUUGUGAUUUAGGGGGGUUAGCUUCCGUUAAUUUUUCCGUCAAACUUAAUCGCAUGUGUCAAAUGUCAAAGUAUUUUUUUGGCAGAUGACCCCCUUGUGCUUACAUUUUCCCUUUCAUUUUUGCAGAUGACCCUCUUGAAGUUUGACGAAUGCGGUUAAGUUUGACGAAAAAACUAACGGAAGCUACCCCCUAAACCACAAGAGCGUUAUGUGCUGAUAUUACUAGUACAAGGGAGUCAUCUGCAAAAGCUUGUAACCACAGAGGGGUUUAAGUGUUAUUUACCCUUAAAAUUAUACUAUUUGAUAAAAUUUAUAACUAUUUAAUUAUAAAGUUUCUUUCGCAUUUGUGUGUUUUUUUUGCAGAAAUUAUCCAUUUGAAAUUUUUAAUUGCCAAAAAUGCCCCUAUGUUAAAAAAAAUUUAGCAAGAAUUCGCCCUGUGAAAAUUAGUCUUCAUGCUUCUUUUUCUUUUCGUUACAUUUAAUUAUAAUUAUUUUAUUUUGUUUGUUUAAAAAUGAAAUAAUAUUUAAAAGGGGAAAUAUGCAAUACACCCCUUAUUUAGAAAAUAUUUUGAAGUAAACCCAAUUGACUUUAAAGAAUUUUCCCAUAACCCACAUCCCAAUCUAAAUUAGUGAGACCCCCCUUACCAGCCAUGAUAAGACUAAAGUGCCCCUAUGUGUUAGGUUUUUAACGUAAUACAAUUUUAUUUAUUUCUCUCUUUCAUUCUCUCGCUCUCUCUCUUUCAUUCUCUCGCUCUUUCUCUCUGUUCACAGUUCUUUCUUUUUUUUUUUUUUUUCUUUUUCCUUCUUCUUCAGAUCUGUAAAUCGCCGCCGCCGGAGCCAACAAUACCCUUCAAACGCCGCCGGCCGAAACCCGUUGCAGGAGGCCCUCCUCCGCCGAUGUUGGAGAUCGUCUUCCCCCUCGUCGAACACCACCACAACGACGCCUGGUACAAUUGGCGGCGGCGCCUCCCCCACCUUGUCGCCGCCUCCGUCGGGUGCGUGAUUUCUACAUGGAGACUCCCCUUCUCUCAACGCGGAAUACCAUUAUAUACUAUAUUAAUUGGUAAUUUUUUUUUUCUCGAAUUAAUUAUCGAACUUGCAAUAGAAUAUCUUAUGGAUCUGAAUUUAAAUUCAGUUCUAUUAUUUGUUUGUUAUGAACGGAUACAUUGAUUUUCAAUUAUUCUGGAUUUGAUUAAUUUUUGUGUUAUUCUGCAUAUUCUGAAUGUUUAGAUCUGGAAAACCCAUUGAAUUACGAGAUUAGUCGGUUGUAGUGCAGUGUAUUUUACAGAGUAGUCAUAUUUGACAGAGUAGUCAUGUUUAACAACUUAGUUAUAUUUGUCCUUUUUUUUUGUAGUGUUGCAUAUGUUCAACAGUGUAGUCAUAUUUAACAGAGAAGAUCAAACGAAAGAUUAAGUGCAGUCGGUGCAAACCGAGUUGGAUACUGCAACAAAAAAACAUGUUCGAUGGCCAUUGUUGAAGGAUCACAUUAGUUAUUUUUGUUUUUUUGUAGUCAUUUUUUUUUCUUUUUGCAAUUUAUUUUGCUAUUAAUAUUGCAAGUUUUUUCAAGUGUUGAUUACUUGUAGUCACAUUACGCAGAACCUAGUCACAUAAUAGUCAUAUUCUCACUGUCAUGUUCAGUCACUGUUAUACAAACCGUAGUCACAUAAUAGUCAUAUUCUCGCGGUUUUUGUUAAGAAUCAUGCUUCUACUGUCUGUUAAUUAUAAUGUUUUACAAAGCACAGUCACAUUCACAUAAUAGUCAUAUUCUUACUGUUAUCUUAAUAAUUAUGCUUCUACAAUAUGUUAAUUACACUGUUAUACACAUCGUAGUCACAUAAUAGCCAAAUUCAACUAUAGUCAUAUUCGGAGUUGUAAAUCUGUCGAGAAAAAAAAAUCAAUUUUUUGUUUAAAAAAAAUUCAAUUUUUUAUUUAAAAAAAAUUUAAAAAAAAUAUUAAAAAAUAAAAAUAAAUAAAAUGGCUAAAAAUCCAAAAAUUAUAAAAAAUAAAAAAAAUAAAAAAAAUAAAUAAAAAUCAUUUUUUUUUUGAUUUGGUAGCAAAUUUUUAGGAAUUUGGAAGCAAAUUUUUAGGAAUUAGAUUAUUGUUAUGGAAAGAGAGAAAAAAGGAAUAAUUGAGACUAAUUAUGCUAAUUGACAUAAGGGUAGAAUUGGGAAUACAAAUUCUAGGGGUUAUCACAAAGAAAGAUUUAAGGGGUGGACAUAUCACCAUUUAUUAUCUAUAUGAGGGGUUUAUUGCUAAUGACCCCAUAAUUAAUUCUAUAGGGAUAAUUUAGUUAUUUCAUAUGAGUCAACAACCAAUUUUGAGAUAAGGGGCGGUGUGCUUUGUAAAACAAAAUACAAGAGGAUUGUUGCUAUGUUUAUAACAUGAGUACUUUUUUGCCAAUUAGAAAUUACAGGUUUGCUAUUAGCUCGUAUCAAUAAUCUACUGUGUUUUCACAUAGAGUAAUUAAAUAAGAAUUAGUAAUCUCUUUCCUUUAUUUUAUCCUAUUAUAGUAUAGGGUUCAUCAAUAAUGUAAAUGGUAGAGUACGGCCGGUACAUAUUAUAUUGUACCGAAAGUAAUAUUAUCAAUAAUAUAUUUUCCUAAAUUUAUGACAUAGUAUUGUUUAGUGACAUUCCUAUUGUAAUGUUGGAGUUCAUCAAUAAUGUAAAUGGUAAAGUACCGCGUACCGAAAAUAUAUUAGUACGUAUUGUACCGAGUAACGGUAAAUAUACCGCAACUAUUUGCAAGGCAACAACAUGACAUUUUUCAAUACCACAAGAUAUCGUAGGUACACAACUUUGAAAAAAAUAUUAGAUAACCGUACCGAAACAACCCCUAUAUUAUAAACAUAAAUGUAUGUAUAAAUCAAUAAUGAAGAUAAAAUGCAGAAGCUAACCAUAAAAAUCUCUCAUUAUCUUGAAUUGUUGGAAAACCCUUGUGUUAAAAACAUUAGCAAGAAUCCACCUGCAUUAUAUUUUACAAAGCACACUGUCCCUUUUUCGUUUUUUAGCUGUUGACUUAGAUGAAAUGACAAAAUUACCCUUAAUUAAAAUUAAAACAAAAAUAAAUAUAUCCAACCCAAAAAAUAAAAAACUUGAAAACAAAAUCCCAAAAGAAAACAAACGAACACACCUCCCACCCCCAAACCCAAACUCAAACCCAAACAACUCUCUAUCAAAUUCCUCAAAUGGUGCAUCCACCACUGCACACGUCGGAGAGCUACCGUCUAACAGCAAUUGAAAGGUCCCCGGUAGCGACGAUGGUGGAUAUGGACGUCGUGAGGGAGGUGGUUAUGGCAGCGGACAUGGUGGAGGCGGUUACGAUGGUGACCGUGGCUCUCUUCCCAUGACCUUUUUUGGUCAGGAAGACACCGGAGAUGGCCUUUUUGAAAAUGUGAAGGACUGAAUUGCAAAUUUUGAAAACUUAAUUUUGGGGUGAUUCUAUAAUUUUGAAAUUUAUAAUUUAAUGGGUAUUUUGGUCUUUUUGAGUUCAAAAUACACUCCCAGCCGCACAAUCCGCGUGUGCAGCACACGAUAAGCUGUUAGGGGCCUUGUUGUCUUUGACUAAUUUUCAUAGAGGGGAUCUUGCUAAUUUUUUUUAACACGAGAGUUUUUCCAGCAAUUCAAGAUUACCCUACACAGGGGUGGUUUUUGCAAAAAAAACCCCAUUAUUAUAUGCAAGGAACUUCUGUUUGGUAAAUAAUCCUAGAAAUAAUUUCUUUUUCACACUACUCUCACCUAUAUAAACGUGCAUAUCCUUAGUCUUAUCAUAAUUUAUUUCCGCCAGAAUAAAUGGAUUCAACAUUUAGUGUAAUAAUCGUCACCACUAUCAUCGUUGCCAUAUGCGCAAAAUGGGCAGUGAAGUUAGUAAAUUGGCUGUGGUUUAAGCCAAGAGAGCUCGAAAAAAUUCUAAGGCAACAAGGCCUCAAUGGCACUCCUUACCGGCCCUUUCUUGGAGACGUAAAGAAUAUGGUGAGACUCAACGAAGCAGAUAAACGGAAAACAAUCAAUCUCUCAGACGAUACUUCACCGCACGUUUUCGGGUAUUACUACCGGACCGUUGCUAAGUACGGUACGUAGCGAUAAUUCAUAUUCACGUUACGUUGAUUAUUAUUAUAUUUACUCAAUUUUCUUUUUAUUAUUAUUUUUUUUUCAGGUAAGAAUUCUUUCUUGUGGUUCGGUCCGUGGCCGAGAUUGAACAUUGCGGAUCCGGAGCUAAUAAAGGAGAUUCUAAGUAGACCGGAUGCUUUUCAACAGCCACUUCCGGAAACAGGCAAGAUUCUUACGGGUGGGAUCGCGUUUCU